GAGGAGGAGGAAGUACAAUUUUGAUAUGGUACCAUGAUGCACAUUAGUCAUUUAAAUAAAUCUUAAGAAGGGAGAUUAUAAUCAACAAAUUAAUAUAACUUCAUUUCAUGCGGAAAUAUUACAUUGAUACAUAAUUUAUAGUAUUGUUUUUAACUAUCAAUUAGGAUUUUUAGUGAAUUGUUGUAUUAAUAUUUUGACCUUCCCUAUUUUAGGGCCCUAAAACUGAAUUGAGGGAUUUAAUUUUCUAGUUCUACAUCCAAAAAGAUAAAUUUAACAAUGGAAACAAAGAAAUUGCCUUGAUUUACACAACAAGGAAUUGAAGUUUUGGGCAAACAAAGAUAUUAAAUGGUAAUUACUCAUCUUGUCCCAAAAUAUAAAUCGUUUAAAAUUUUUUCACAAGAAUUAAGAAAUCAAUUAAUUUUCCUAAAUUAUAAUAAAAUUAAGUGUAAAUUGAUCAAAUUAUCAUUUAUCGCAAAACUAAUAGCUACUUAUUGAAGUGUUUAUUGUAUCUAAUGUAAAUAUGAGUAACAUUGAAAAAAUAUCAUUUAUUACUCCUUAAAAUACCCAGAACAAUUUAUAUUUUGGGACAAUAAUCACUCAAAAAUGACUUAUAUUUUGAGAUAGAAUGAGUAAUUUAGUUUACAUUGUUAAUUAGACAUAUUCCUAACAACAAAAUAAGAUUAAUCAAAUAAAUACACAAAAUGUCAUAAUCCUAAUUAGUGAUAAUCUAAGUCCAAGAAAAAAAAAAUCACAAUUAACAAGGUUAUUGUUUUGGACAUGAAAAGGGUCAAAGGCUAUCAAUUUGAUGAAAGCGAAAUUAUUUUUGUACCUCAAUAGACAAUAAUCUCUCCAUUGAAUCAAAUUUUGUGGGCCUCUUCUCAUUAUGUUUUUAAGGUUCAAUGUCUCUAUCUCACGGUCUAAGUACUAAUAUCCAAAUAAAUACACUUAAUUUGAACAAUUGAUUGUUACUAUUACACAUUAAUGUGUUAGAUAAAAAUGGACAAGGGAAUAUUACCUUAUUAUUUUUGAAUAAUUAUAGGCAAAAUGAUUAAAUAAAUUAAUUAAAAAAUAUUUUAAUAGUAAUUAUUUUGAUAAGAUUAAUAUAGUCUAAACAAUAUAAGUACAAAUCAUUUACUAGUAGAUAAUUAGUAGAAGUUUUGGAAUACGCCUAAUCGACUAUGCAACUAUUGAAAAAUUAAACGAUAAAAAUGACACUUAAAAUUGAGAUUCUUUCCUAAUAAUUUUGGUCUUUCUAUUAUUGAUAUUUGUAAUAUCAGAUAAUAUGAUUUUUAUUGUUAUACAAAUUAAUAUUUAAAUAUGUUUUAUGUUAUAAAUUGAAAUUUAAGAAUGUUAUUAUACACUAUAUUAUGCGUUUAUAUUAUAAAUUUAGAGACAAAAAAUUGAAACUAAGAAAAAUAAAUAUGACUUAGAGCGGAAUAAAAUUAACUAUGGUUAUACAUGGGAUGAUUUUCGAGUUUUUCUCAUAAUGAAAAAUUUGAGACGGUUUUUGAGAAAUAGAGUCGACAUUCCCGCAGUCUCGUGCACGCCCCUAAAUCCUAGGAUAAUUAAUCCAUUAUCAUCUUGUUGCGUUUUUAAUAAGAAAAUUUUUUUACAGAGUUAGGUUAUCAAACCUUUAAUGUUUAGUGAAAGUUUUGAACAAUUACUCCAAAUAAAUAAAUAAAUAAAAAUUUACAAUUCAUUUUGGGAUGGUUCGUGGUAAAUGCCGGUGUAAAACACGCACUAACUCAGGAGAAUACAAGGACUAUACCAGCGUGUUAAGUAAUUCGUCAGAGGUGUAAGUUGUCAGCAUAUAUAUUGGUUAUGAUUGGACCGUGAUCUGCACGCUCGUUAACCGAAGUGCAUUUAACUUUGGGAAAAUAUCCAAGGAAUAUCCAGUAUUUUGAAGAGACGAAAAGACUGGCUUAGCCACGUCAGAAGACAGACAGGCACUCGAUAAUCAUUCCGCGCUUUCCGCAUUUGGAUUGUAGUGGCAAUUCUGUAAUAAAUCUCCAGAAAUAAGAGUAAUCUGUGAAUUCAAAACCAAACGGAUAAGGACAAUAUAGGAAUUUAAUCCAUUUACUUUAUUUCUUGUUUUUCUUUUUGCCAUUUCUGUUGUAUAUACAUAUUUGACAUUUUUUGAUUCUUUUUAAAUGAUACAAAUUGACCGUCAAGUUUCAACAUAAGAUUAAAUUGUGUUCCAAUUAAAUUUUUUUUUAUAAUUUUUCUUUAUUGAUUUUUAUAAAUCAUUUAAAAGAUUUUUUUAUUUCCGAUUCUAAAAAAAUGUAUCUUCAUUUUUUUAUAAUAUUUCUUUAUUGAUUUUUAUAAAUCAUUUAAAAGAUUUCUUUUUAUUUCUAAUUCUAAAAAAAUGUAUUUUAUUGUAAUAUUAAAAAUCAUUUAAUAAUUAUAAGAUUUAUGCAUUAAACAAACGGUGAAUAUAAUAUGAGACUUGAUUUGAUUCAAAUAAAAUCAAAAUUAAGAUACGCUUAUUCAAUUCUAAUUUUAUUUUUUACAAAUUGAUUAUCGAUUUCUUUUUGUUUUGGUAAGAAAAAAGUUAAGAAAUACUGAAAAUAAACAUAUGCAAUGCCACAUAAAAUCAUGCGUCGUAAUAGAUAAAAGGCUAGUUGGAGUUCUAUCACGAACUUGAACGCCCAAAGAAUUGGAAGAAAGAAAUUUAUAUAAUGUUUUUGAUAAAUUGAUGUUUAUGGUUCAAAAUCUAAUAAGUUUUUAUCUAAAAAAAAUAAUAAUGUUUAAGUUUUAUCAUUUUUUAUUUUUUUUAACAACAGAAACAAUCUUUAUUCCAAAACAACAAAAAUUGAUGAUGAGAGAGGUUUUAUUUUUACCAAUUCAAAUGAAAUGAGGAAAGUCAAAAGCAAUUAGCAAAUUGGUAAUGUCAAUUGUCAACACAGAUUCAGUAGCUUGAGCUGUUCACUUGUACUAGUUUUUCUUUUCUUCCCAUUGGUUAACCAUUUCAUAAUUUACUAAUACAACGCGCAUUCUCAAUUUCCCAACUAAUACCCACAUUUUUAUUUUAUUUAUUUUAUUUUUGACAUAAGCAUUAUUAUUAUUAUUUUUAUUUUUAAUAUAUCGAUGAAGACAAAUUCAAAUGAAGCAAAAGAAAAUCUUUUCUAUUUUAAUAAAGAAAAACCGUGUUUUAUACUUUUCUCAUAUACGUAACAUAAAAUACAACUAAGACUAAGCUGUGAUAAUUAGACAUGUUAUUAAUUUUAAAUAAAUAAGUAGUAAUUACUCUGUCUUCUUCUUCCAGGCUCCAACCCAUAUAACCACAGAGCCCACUGUCACUAACCUUACUGAUUUCCCACUUCCAGUAAAAGAAGUAUAAACCUUUUUUGUACCUUUUUUUUUUUCUUUUGUUUUUAAUUACCAUUACUACCCUCACCAUCGAUUCUCCUCGUCUCUCUUAAAAUCCCGAAUUACCCUUUUUUUUUUCUUUUCUUGAUUCUGCAAUCCACCUCCUAAAUACUUUCCUUUUGGUCUUAUGAACUUCUAAAACUAAACAGCAAUUUCUUCUCCUUCUCUUUCAUUCUUGUCCUCGCUCAUUUCUCUCUAUCCUCAACAAACAUCAAGAAAUACGGCCGGUCUGGUCAUACUGCCGGCGACCCAUAAAAACCCAUUUCUUUUUACUCUUUCUCCCUCUUUUUUUCGCGUUCUUUCUUUUAAUAAAUCUUUAGCCCCAAAGCCAAGAACCUUCUUUUUCUUUAUUAAAAAAUUUACUUACCCAGCAAAGCUUUUGUAUUAAAUAACGUAUCUAGUCUUGAUCAUGACAUGUUAGUGGCUUGUAGUUUUGCUCACGACCUGGUCUCUCAACUAAGAAAUCUUCCUUCUGUUAUCUAUAUGUGAGAAUUUGAGGACAGUUGGUGACAUUGAAGCAUUCUCUUAUUUUAUUUAUUUUUUUUUUUUUUAAAGCUUGGUUCAAGUUUCGCCGUUUAGUCUCUUUAAAGCGUUGAUAGAAUCAGACAGAGGGAUCUGUCGUCUUUAGAGACCCGGCAUUCUUUUUUAUAAAGAUAAGGUAAGUCCCUUUUUUCGCAUUAGCUUCAUUGUGUUCACGAUAUAUAGUUUAUUGGUUUGAAAAUAUGGAUCGAUCUUUUCUUGCUUAAAGGUGAAAAUGUUUUUCUGUUAAAACAGGGUUUCUGUUUAUAGUGUUUUUAGUGUCGUUUAAGCGAUCUUUUAGAUCUUACGUUUUCUCUUGUUUUGGGUUUUGAAAGUAGCUACUACUGAGUUGCUGUGGGUUAUUUCGAUGUGAGUUUGAAUUAUAUAUAUAUGGUGAUUGCCAUAAGCCAUCUUUCUUUUUGCAAUGUUUCAAAAAAUGGUUUUAAGUGUUUUAUUGUGUGGUAUUUUUUUUGUCAUUUUCGCAUUUUUGAUGUUCUUUGGAAGUGCAAUUUUGUGCUAAUUUCAGCUGAUUAUGGGUUUUUGUUGUGAUGAACUUUUUUAAUUGCGAGAAAAAGUGGGAAAAUUUUAAAGAAAGAGUUUGGAUCUUAGACAUUUCUUGUGUUUUUAGAUUUUAGUAAACAAUAAGUCAAAAGUAUUUAAUCAGUUAAAGUCUGGUGCUCUCUUUUGAUAUAAGUUUUUGGGAAAAAAGUUUUGAUCACGGUUUUCCUUAUAAUUGAUUUUCUUGUCAGCUAGACGGAGGUUGUAGAUGAUCUAUAGCUAUCUGGCUUUACUCUAUUACAGCGGAAAGACUGACUGAUUUUUGAGACUUUUGGAAUGACAGUUUGGCAACAUAAACCUUUUGCUUGUUUUGAAGUUGUGUAAAAUGUAGACUUGGAAAUCAUUUGCUCUAGAUCAUAUUCAUAUUAGAUUCAACAUUAUAUAUAAAAUCUUGAUGGAAUUUUUGCAAUUUGAUAUUUUGGGAUCGAGUGUUCUAUUCAUGAAAAUUAUAUGCCGAUGCUAAAUUUUAUUCCACUUUGAAAUUUCAGGAUCUGAAGAGACUUCUCUGGGAGUAAUAGAACAUGGCCUCCAAAUCAUUAAGACUUAGCCGAUCAAAUCUAUCUGCGAGUUCAGAUGCAACCGACGGUCAGAAACCUCCACUACCUCCAACUGUGACAUUUGGCCGAAGAACUUCUUCCGGUCGCUAUAUCAGCUACUCAAGGGAUGAUCUUGAUAGCGAAAUUGGGAGUACUGAUUUCAUGAACUAUACGGUGCAUAUACCACCUACCCCUGAUAAUCAACCUAUGGAUCCAUCUAUCUCGCAGAAGGUUGAAGAGCAAUACGUGUCGAAUUCACUCUUUACAGGUGGGUUUAAUAGUGUUACACGGGCUCAUCUCAUGGACAAGGUGAUUGAUUCUGAAACAAGCCAUCCCCAGAUGGCUGGUGCCAAAGGAUCCUCCUGUUCUAUUCCAGGCUGUGAUGCAAAGGUCAUGAGUGAUGAGCGUGGCAUGGAUAUUCUUCCUUGUGAAUGUGAUUUUAAAAUAUGCCGGGAUUGCUAUAUUGAUGCAGUGAAAACUGGGGGUGGGAUUUGCCCUGGUUGUAAGGAGCCUUAUAAGAACACUGAAUUGGAUGAGGUAGCUGUGGAUAAUGGGAGGCCACUUCCACUUCCUCCACCAGGAACAGUUUCCAAAAUGGAGAGGAGGUUAUCAUUGAUGAAGUCUACAAAAUCAGCACUAAUGAGGAGCCAGACUGGGGAUUUUGAUCAUAAUAGGUGGCUGUUUGAAACAAGGGGGACUUAUGGAUAUGGGAAUGCCAUAUGGCCUACUGAUGGGGGUUUUGGCAGUGGGCAAGAUGAAGUUGCUGAACCCAAAGAAUUGAUGAAUAAACCGUGGAGGCCCCUUACCAGGAAAUUAAAGAUACCAGCUGCUAUUAUCAGUCCAUAUCGGUACAGUUUCCCUAUUCAUCAUUGUCUUUGUCUCCUAAGAGUCAGAAUUAUGAUAUCAUUCCAUUUCAAAAAUUUGACUUCAAAAAUUUCAAUGGCUACUUUGCUCAAUUUUGUUUUUACCAAUUGGCACAAUGGUACAUCAACAUGAAUUUGGACUGUCAAUUUUCUCUCUGUUCUCUCUCUCUCUCUCUCUCUCUCUCUCUCUCUCUCUCUUUGAUUGGUUUACUUUUUGAAACUUUUACCGUCCUUGACUUGUAGUUUAUUGAUAAUGAAGCAUAAUGAUUAUGCGAAUUACAGUGGCAACAACUGACUGAUGAAAAAGUAAAGUGAUUAUUAGUCAUUCAUGCCAUAUCAGUUAUUCCAAAUGUGGUCCAAUGUUUUUUUUUUUUUUUUUUUUUUUUUUUUUGUUAGUGUUUUCAAUAACAAUUAUGGUUUUGGCAAUGCCAUUUUUUGGUCCAACUUAUGCUAAUGAAUGUCUUUUGCUCUGCUGCAUCUGUUCUUACAGGCUGCUCAUUUGUAUUCGGAUAGUUGUCCUUUCAUUGUUUUUGACAUGGAGAGUCAGACAUAAAAACGAAGAUGCAAUCUGGCUAUGGGGGAUGUCAGUUGUUUGCGAGAUCUGGUUUGCAUUUUCGUGGCUUCUUGACCAACUUCCCAAGCUAUGCCCAAUCAAUCGGGCAACAGAUCUUAAUGUCUUGAAGGAGAAAUUUGAAACACCUAGCCCUGCUAAUCCCACUGGUAAAUCUGAUCUUCCGGGCAUAGAUAUCUUUGUUUCUACUGCGGAUCCAGAGAAAGAACCACCUCUUGUAACUGCAAACACCAUUUUGUCAAUUCUAGCUGCUGAUUACCCUGUUGAAAAACUUGCUUGUUAUGUUUCUGAUGAUGGAGGUGCACUUCUAACAUUUGAGGCCAUGGCAGAAGCUGCAAGUUUUGCUAAUAUUUGGGUUCCUUUCUGCCGUAAACAUGAUAUUGAGCCCAGGAACCCUGAGUCUUACUUUAAUUUGAAAAGGGAUCCUUAUAAGAACAAAGUGCGAUCGGAUUUUGUCAAGGAUCGCAGGAGAAUCAAGCGUGAAUAUGAUGAGUUCAAGGUUCGGAUCAAUGGCUUGCCUGAUUCUAUUCGCCGCCGAUCUGACGCUUAUCAUGCUCGUGAGGAAGUCAAGGCCAUGAAACUUCAAAGACAGAACAGAGAUGAUGAACCUGUGGAGAGUGUAAAGAUUCCAAAAGCUACUUGGAUGGCGGAUGGUACCCAUUGGCCAGGGACUUGGAUGCAUCCUGCGCCUGAGCAUUCUAAGGGUGACCAUGCUGGUAUAAUACAGGUAUCAAUCUUAGUACAUAGUUUUAUACCAGUUGUUCAGACCAUCUAAACAGUGAACUGACCGUGAUUUGUUCUGGUCAAUAUUUAAAGCAAUUGGUUAGGUUUCUGAUAGUUUUUUUUUAAAUUACUAUUUUUAACUGCAUUAUUUCAAUAAUUUAUUAGUUGAGUGGGAAGAGACUAGAAAGAAUUAAAAUAAUAUAAAAAAAGAAGAAAAGGUGAAAUAAUCAAUUGUGUGAUGCAGGUGAUGUUGAAACCUCCUAGUGAUGAACCACUGCAUGGAAAUGCUGAUGAUACAAAGAUCAUGGACCUUACAGAUGUUGAUAUUCGUCUUCCAUUGCUCGUUUAUGUUUCUCGUGAGAAACGCCCUGGCUAUGACCAUAACAAGAAGGCAGGGGCCAUGAAUGCGCUUGUUAGAGCUUCAGCCAUUAUGUCUAAUGGUCCCUUCAUUCUCAACCUUGAUUGUGAUCACUACAUUUACUACUCCCAGGCAAUGAGGGAAGGCAUGUGCUUCAUGAUGGAUCGAGGAGGUGACCGCAUCUGUUAUGUUCAGUUCCCUCAGAGGUUUGAGGGUAUUGAUCCUUCUGAUCGAUAUGCCAAUAACAACACCGUUUUCUUUGAUGUUAAUAUGCGUGCCCUUGAUGGUCUUAUGGGUCCAGUCUAUGUUGGAACUGGAUGCCUCUUUAGAAGGACUGCCCUAUAUGGCUUUGACCCUCCUCGAGCAAAAGAACACCACCCAGGAUGCUGCAGUUGUUGCUUUGGUCGGAAGAAGCAUUCCUCAGUUGGAAACACGCCAGAAGAGAACAGGGCAUUGAGAAUGGGUGAUUCUGAUGAUGAAGAGAUGAACCUCUCCUCAUUUCCUAAGAAAUUUGGCAAUUCGACGUUCCUCAUAGAUUCAAUCCCAGUGGCAGAGUUUCAAGGUCGCCCUCUUGCAGAUCACCCAGCUGUUAAGAAUGGACGCCCUCCUGGUGCUCUUACCAUUCCUCGUGAGCUUCUUGAUGCAUCAACUGUUGCAGAGGCAAUCAGCGUUAUUUCUUGCUGGUAUGAAGACAAGACAGAGUGGGGACAGCGAAUUGGUUGGAUUUAUGGGUCUGUUACUGAAGAUGUUGUCACAGGUUAUAGGAUGCACAAUAGGGGAUGGAAAUCAGUUUAUUGUGUGACCAAGCGUGAUGCUUUCCGAGGGACUGCUCCAAUCAAUCUCACAGAUCGGCUUCAUCAAGUCCUCAGAUGGGCUACUGGUUCUGUUGAGAUUUUCUUCUCACGCAACAAUGCCUUGCUAGCCAGCCCAAGAAUGAAAUUUUUGCAGAGGAUAGCAUAUCUUAAUGUUGGUAUCUACCCAUUUACCUCCAUUUUUCUGAUUGUCUACUGCUUCCUACCUGCACUAUCCCUUUUCUCUGGCCAAUUCAUUGUACAGACCCUUAAUGUCACUUUCCUCGUCUACCUUCUUGUCAUUACUGUGACUCUAUGCUUACUUGCUAUACUUGAGAUCAAAUGGUCUGGCAUUGAGCUAGAGGAGUGGUGGAGGAAUGAACAGUUUUGGUUAAUUGGAGGGACUAGUGCCCACCUUGCUGCGGUGCUUCAGGGGCUACUGAAAGUUGUUGCAGGAAUUGAAAUCUCUUUCACCUUGACUUCAAAAUCAGGUGGUGAUGAUGUAGAUGAUGAGUUUGCUGAUCUUUACAUUGUAAAAUGGACUUCAUUGAUGAUCCCGCCGAUCGUGAUCAUGAUGACCAACUUAAUUGCUAUAGCUGUUGGGUUUAGCCGAACAAUAUACAGUGUUUUACCGCAAUGGAGCCGUUUAAUAGGUGGAGUUUUCUUCAGUUUCUGGGUUUUGGCUCAUCUCUACCCGUUUGCCAAAGGUCUAAUGGGAAGACGAGGAAGAACACCGACCAUUGUUUUUGUAUGGUCAGGACUUAUUGCAAUCACUAUCUCUCUCCUUUGGGUGGCUAUCGAUCCUCCGUCAAAUACUACCCAAAUUGGAGGCUCGUUCCAGUUCCCUUGAGAGGCCCUUCUUUUUCUGUUGAGCUGCAUUUGUUCAGUGAAAUUCCUUCAUUAGUUCUUGGUUUUUUUUUCCCCUCAUUCAAAAAGUUUUAUCGUGUCGGAAAAUGGAUUAGGGUAUGUUCUUGUUGUUGUGCCCAUUUAUACUAAUGCUUACUUUUGUAACAGUUCUCCCAAGGAUCAUCAGGAACAAGUAGCUGAAAUUCUAGUCAUCAGUUUUCCAUUUUCACGUGGAUAACUAGGACCUUGCUUAUUAUUGUAUUCUUUGUAAUGUAGAAAGUGCACAUUGAAAGCAGUUAUUGCCAGAUUUAUUUUAUACACUUCAAAUUUACAAGUUUGCAUAUUUCUUUGUAGUUAUGGAUUCAUACUCUAAAAGAAAUGUUUAGAAAUUAGAGGGCUACAUAAAAAAAAAUAUAGUAUCGUGAAGGAAAUUUUCAAAUCACACUCUUUAUGGGAUAUUUGAAACUUAUACUAAAUAAGAGUAAAUCUACAUUCGUGUAGAUAAUCUAAAAUUAAUGGUUAUGAUCAAUUGACAAUUAAUGGAAAUCUAUGCAUCAAACUUGAAUUUAUUAAUAAUUUAGUUUUCUUUGUCCAAAAUAGUUUUUUUUUUUACUUAAUUAUAAUUGAUUAAAAAUUAAUUUUUAAAAAAAUUAAUUCUUAAAUUAUAAUCAAACUAAUUAUGAGAUCCUUAACUUAUAAUUUAUAUUAACAUUUUAAUCCAUCCGUCAAAAUUUUGAUAACAUUUUGAUCCCUCUAUUUUUAACGGAAAGAUCAAAGUGUUCAUAAAAUUACAAUUUAAGAAUCUUGUAGUUAUUUUUUAAAAAUAAAGAUUCUCAUAUUUUAAUUUAACUGUAAUUUAAGAAUUAAAUUUUUUCCCCAAAUUUUAAAUAAAGAAAUACCAUGUUUAAUUUUCUCAACCUUAUAUUUUUCAAAUGGAUUUAUUGAUUGAGUGUCGUGUUUAUAUAACAUAUUAUUAAUUAUACAAAUGAUAAAUUUCCCUCUUCCGUUCUUAGAAAUUUUUUUUUUUUAUUUUUAACUUUAUUUAAGCAAUGAAAGAUAUAUGUCUUGUUUCAUAUAAAUGCUUUGCAAAUUUCAUAUUUACUUGUUAAUGAAAAUACAAAUGUAUUUCCUCUAAAAAUAAAAAAUACAAAUAUAUAUGGAUAUAAUAUGAAAUUAUGACUAAAAAUAGAAUAUUUUUCCUUCCAAAAGAACGAAGAUUUUUUCUAUAUUUAUAUCAAGAAUAUUUAUAUUAGGUAAUACGUUGGCAAGUCUAUUUGUACAUGAUAUACCCUUCUAUUUGCAUUGGAAAAAACACAUCACUUGGAUGAUUUUUUUUCCAUAAUUAUACUAUAUAUUCAAUUUUUUCCCUAGCAUAAUUUUGAAAUUAAGAUUUUUUUCCAAAAAAAGAAAAUUUACGUCAAUCAAUUUCUAUAUAGGAUAAAAAAAAAAAUUGGAAAAAGGGACAGCUGUAAUUAUUUUAAAUAUUUUAACAUUCAAAUUAUAUAUAUAUUUUUUGAAGUACCCUUUUCAAGAAUUGGGCUGUCUGAAGUUCUCGUGUCGCAACGACUAAAAUUCAUUUGGAGCAAUUAUACCAUGUCUCUGCAAACUCCACCUGGCAUCACCUCGUGACUAAUACUACUUCAAUGUCCGUUACUUUUUAACUUUUUAUAAUAAUUAAAAUUAAAAUAAUUAUUGAACCACUUAAAUUUAAAUAAAUAAAUAAAGAUAAUUAGUUAAAUUAUUUUUUAAUUAAAAGAGAUAAAAUUUCGUAGAAAUACCUAAAUAAAAGUUAAUAAAAAUUGCUGUUGAAUGAAAAAGACUGGUAAAUGCAACAAAGAAACAAGUUCCACCUGCCAGUCACUGUUCAUAUCAUAAACUAUUAUUUUCUAAAAUAAGAUACAAGAUCUUCUAAAUAUCAUAAUUUUCGCAAUUUUUUAAUUUUUUUUAAAAUUUAUAUUUAACAUACACAUACUUUUAGCAAUUUUAAUAAUACAAAUGAAUAUGUGUGUAUUUAAUAUAUUUUUUUAAAAUUUAUAAAAUUCGAAAUAUUCUAUAUAAAAUUUAGUUGAAGAAAUUUUUAUAAAUUUUUAGCUAUUAAAUUUAAUAAAUUUCGCUUCUUUGCUUGAAAUUGGAUGUCACUUUCUUUCUCAUCCGCCUUCUAAAUUUGUUACCUGGCUCGAUCAUGAUCUAGCGGGUGUUUUCUAUUCGCGUUCUAUUUAGUUUUAUUUGAGCUUUUGCUCCCCUUAUCUUACAAAAAAGAAAUUUAAUAGAUUUCAAAAUUUAAAUAAGUCUCAUAAUAAUAUUGUCACUAUAAUUUAAUAGAAAUAUUAUUAUUAAUAAUAAAGUAUUAAAUAAAUACAUCACAUAAAUAAAGAGAAAUAAAUCACAAGAAAUAUAUUUUUUGAGUAUUAAUCAAGAGAAAUAUUUUACUUAUAAAAGUAAAUUUUAGUUAUACAAUAAUAAAUUAAAUUUCUAAAUAUCAUAAAAAUAUAUUUUCUAUCUGUAAAAUAUGUUCUCAAAAAUAUUUAUAUUAUGAAAAAUAAAUAUAAUUUAUUAAUUAUGUAUGAUCUGAUUGUUUAUCUUAUUUACGUGGAAAGUGAAAAUUUUAGAUUUUAAAUUGUUUUUUAUAUCUAUUCAACGAUUUCAACAAAUAAAAAAAAUUGUUUAAAAAUAAAUUAUUAAAUUUCCAUUCUAUUGAUAUUCCAUAAAAUAAAAUAAUAUAUUUUUGAUAUAGCAAGAUAAAGAUAAAGUUAAAAUAAAAUAACUAAUAUAAUCAUAAUUUCUUAAAAAUAAUUUCUACAUAAAAGGAAUAAGGAACUAUCAAAUAUUUAUACCCAUUUAGAGCAUCCCGAAUUCCAACACUGGAAAAUUGCCUGAACAUAUCGGUUCAAUUCCCGUUGCGAAUCUUCGGUCCUAUCUGAAAUCCCCCUGUCGUCUAAUGGUGAUUUACAAUUCAGGUAUGAGGAUAGGGGCUCCAUGACUUUCACCGAUGUGAUGUGAGGGAGAUUAUACAGCUUCAGAUCACUCUCUGUCCGGGCCUUUGGGUCUGAAGUCCUCUUUCUUCUCGGCUCUUCACUUGUUUAUCGUCCCUGCUGCGCUCUUUCGCCGCACACCGCCGUCGCCACGUGGGUAACAUAAUUAUUGCUGCCUUUGGUAUGUUAAAAAGCUGAGAUUUGUUUAUCGAAUUACAAGAUUUCAAUUACUUUGUUGAUUUUUUUUUAGCUUCCAUGGAUACCAGUGAAGACUGUAAACUGAAAAGGCAAAAACUUUGCGAGACAAUCGUUGAAGAUAGGAUUAGUAGUUUGCCAGAGGCGGUUCUUGGCCACAUUUUAUCCUUUCUUCCAACUAAAACUGUAGUGCAAACAAGUAUUUUGUCUAGAAGAUGGAGAAACAUUUGGAAUUCUGUGUGUAAUUUUGAUUUUGAGUUUCUUUAUGAUGGUAAUGAAGACUUGAGCAGGGUACAAAAAUUUGGGAGAUUUGUAGACUCAGUACUAAUUCUUCGUUCUUACCCAUGUAUUAAAAAGUUCCGCCUUCACUUUCAUUCUUCGUUACCUUGUAAUGCAAGUACAUGGAUUCGCGCUGCAGUUAGGAAUAAUGUUGAGGAGCUUGAUCUCGGUAACUUUCUAAGUACACUCGAGAUGCCUCGGAUCGUUUUCAGUUGUGAGACUAUAAGGAUCUUGAAGGUUUACCAUGGAUUUACCUUUCAGAUUCCCGAGGCUGUAUGCCUUCCAAGUCUCAGGGUUCUUCAUUUGGUAUCUCUUUUUUCCUUGAAGGAUGGUGACAUAGAGAAGUUUUUAUCAGGAUCCCCUGUUCUCGAAGAACUAUUUAUUAAUUCGCAUCAUAAUGAUCUUGUAACAACAUUGUCUGUUCAGUCCUCAUCACUUAAAAGUUUGAAAAUUCGGAGGAGAGAUCAGUGUCGUUUUGGAUUUUUUAGGCUUAUAAUUGAUGCACCAAAACUAGAAUUUCUUGAGCUGAUUGAUUAUGUCUCUGAAGAAUUUGAGAUAGUGAAGUUGUUACCUUCACUAGUUAAAGCAUCUGUGGAUGUUAGGCCAGAAGAUUUCAUUUAUGACAGCGUACAAGCAGCUCAGGUGUUUGGACUUCUGAAACAAAUCUCUAAUGUGAAAUCUUUAAGCUUAUUUGGAGUUACGGUUGAGGUAAUUGCUUCUCUGUUUACUUUUAUUUUUAUUUCAUUUGUAUUGGGAUUAUGCUCACUGUCUUACACUUUGCCUUCUCAGGGAAUUGAUUUUGCAGAUACAGGUUUCACUUACCCCAUUUUUCAUAAUUUGAUGCAUUUGGAGGUGAAUGCCAAUGAAAAUGGAUGGCUCGGGUUCCUUGAAAUACUCAGAAACUCACCAAAUUUGGAGACAGUCGUACUCCAUAAGGUCAGUUCAAAUGGCUCAAUUCAAAUAUAAAAUCUAUAAAUUUGAAUAUUUCUUACUUCAUAUGUGAUGAUAGAGGAGUAAAUAUGGAGCUUUGUUUGACUUGAUACUGUCAUUAGAGUUAUAGAUAAAUAAAUUUUAAUAUAAUUCCGUAAAAUUCUAUUUGAAAUCUAGUAGAAGUGCUUGUUUGUUCUCUCUUUAUGUUUGUUCUUGUGACUCAAAAGGAGGGGAACACCUAUAAAAACCUUAGAUUAAAUGGAACAGAGAUCUAGGGAAUGAGACUCCAUGCACAUCUUCACUAACACAAGAAUACCCUCGGGAGGCUUAUGAACGUUAUGUAACCCCAUACUGAACUUGAGAGCUGGAAUGAUGGUGCCUUUUUGAAACACAAGAUAGGAGUGAGUUUUUACAGGUUGUGCUGAAAUUAUGGAACUGUAAAUGGAACUAAGUUGUAUCUAUAUGGUAUUGAACUUUCACUGGUGUUAGUUAAUAAAGCUUUGAUUAUCUUUUGUCAACAGCAUGAGAUUAUGCUAGAAAUUUGUUUCUUGCAGUGAUAUCUUUUACUAAUUUAAGCUUUGAUUAACAUUCUACUGGAAGAACUUCAAUCAUCUUUUGUGAACAGGACAAUGAUCGUUCCGAUUAUCCUGAUGAAAGCUUUCGGGCACCAGCUGUGCCCCGAUGUUUCUUCUCAUCUCUCAAGAGAGUUGAACUUAGAGGAUUUGAAGGAAAUAGAGUGGAGAUGAAAGUAAUAAGAUAUUUCCUGAAAAAUGCUAAGGUCUUGAAGAAACUUGCAAUUGAAUAUUUGGAUGACAUGGAUCCUAAGAAAGAGACGAAGCUGUUGAAGAAGCUGUUAAAGUUUCCAAGGGCCUCAUCCACAUGUCAAAUCAUAUUUUAUUGAACUCCUUACCUGAAACUUUCUGUUUUGUUGAUUGCAUGCCAUGAACUUGCUUAUGAGGGGCAUUUUCUGAUAUUGUUAAUAAGAGAGGUCUACAGGUUCCCUCUUUAUGAGUUCGCAAGCUCUCUGUACUGAAGUUCUUGGGAUUAUAUAUAAAGAUUUAUACAAUGUGUCAAAAAAUAUGAAUUUAGUUCAUCUUUCUAUAUCUGAGACCAACUGGUGACUGUUACAUUAUUAGGGUCAUAAAUCAAAUCCUGAGACGCAAUUGAGACUUGUGACAAUUUAUUUAGACUUUGAGCAAAAUUUAAUGAAUUGGCAGGUAUUUUCAUUGAACAACUAAGCAUAUAAUUCUCCCCUUUUGAAAGACAUUUGUUGUGUUUAUAUCUAUUAUGUGUAGCUGAUCCUUGAAGACCGCUUCAUGAGGCGAUAUAUAUUGCAAUCAUGGACCAAAUUUUGCACCCUAAAGCUCAAAAGAAGACCCAUUAUUGUGAACACGAGUCCUUUAAAGGGGAGAAUUGUCAUUUUGGUAUAAUCAGGAAGUGUGAUUCUUAAAGGUGAGAAUUGUCAUUUUGAUAUAAUCAGAAAGUGUGAUUCCCUAGGAUUGUGAUUCUUAAAGGGAAGAAUUGUCAUUUUGGUAUAAUCAAGAAGUGUGAUUCCUCCCUCGGAUUGAAGGAUAGGAAGGGAGAAUUGUCAUUUUGAUUUGGGAGUUAGUCUAGUAUACAUACAUGAAUUUACUUCUAUUUAGUACUAAAAAUGUGAUAUUAUCUGACCUACGACCCUUAGUCUAGAUAACUAAGUUGAGGUCCUCAUGACCAAAAGAUCAUGGGUGUUGUUCCCUUCCAGCAUUCUAAUAUUAUAACCUCGACCUGCCAAAUUUGCACAUAUUAGUGUAGAAAGAAAAUAUACACGUUAUCAUAAAAGCAUGCCUAGUAAUUAAACUAAAAGGAUAAACGAUUCAAAGAGAAAUUUAGAAUCAAAAUUUCACUAAUUAGGAGAAUCAAUAAAGAAAAUAUAAAAAGAAAGAAAAGGUUUAUAGCUAGAAAAUGGUAGAGAAAAAGUAGAUGACAAAGAAAACUUGUCUUGACUCUUUAGUAAUAACUUUCAAAACUGAAAAAUUCCUCACGUAGUAAACCUAACCCGUCACUUAAAAGCCAAAAAAGAAAAAACAAAAACCCUGAAAAAACAUGCAUGUAGAAAGCGUGAAAAUUUAGUUGUUAAAGCAGCAUAUAUGCAUGUCCAAGCUAACCUACCUCUCAUAUUAGAAGCUCACAACACAAAUAUUUUCAUUUUCAUUUCUCAAGAAAAGAAAAUACCAAUGGCAACUUACCUGAAAUUAUUACUACUCUUAUCUUCUCUUCUCUCGGCAAUAGCUACAGAUAUUACCUCCAGAAGCCAUGAACUCGAUGUUGCAAUUGAAGAAAUGACAACGGCUAAUUAUUUCACCUUUGUAACCCUAAUUAACAUGGCUCCUUUUGAUAAUAGAAUUCAAGAAAAUAUCACUUUCUUGAUGCCUAAUGAUAAAAUCUUGUCAAAAACAGGAAUCUCCCAAGAUUCUGUUUCUGAUUUUCUUCUUCGCCAUUCGAUUCCUUCUCCUUUAAUUUUCGAGCAUCUUCAGCAUAUUCCAUCUGGUUCUAGAAUUCCAAGUUCAAAGCCUGAUUACAUGCUUGAUAUUAACAACAAUGGCGGCCGGAGAAGUUUUUUUCUUAAUAAUGUCAAAAUUAUUAGCCCUAAUAUUUGCACUGCAGGUUUUUCGAUUCGUUGCCAUGGAAUAGAUGCUGUGUUGGUUGAUAUAAACAAUAAUACAUUAUCCAGUUGUUCUAACGCCAGUGCUCCUCCGGUGGUUGUGGGGGCUCCACCACCAGUAUCAGCAUUAUUACCGCCGUUACCACCGGCAGCUGUAGCUCCUUCUGCGAUUGCCUCUGAUCAGAUUCCUGUGGUGGCUGAUAAUGGUCCAAAAAAGUCAGGGUCUUCUAUGUCAUUUAAAAUAUCUUUGAAAUUUACUUUUAUUUUUGUUGUUAUUUCAAUAAUUUGGUUUAAUAUAUAGUUUAAUUUGUAUUUGGAAUUAAAUUAACCUAUUUUAGUCAAUGUUUUAUUGGAUUUAAAUUUGUUUUUUAACACUAUACGUAUAAAUUUUCUGAAAAGAAAAAUUGAUCUCGAUGCAUAUAAGUUUCUUUUUAAAAGUUUUUACAAGUGCAAACUGUAAGAAAAUGUUAAUUUUACUAAUUCUUUUUAUUUAAUUUAUUAUAAUCUCUUUCUGAAAAUUGUUUUUUCAAAUGAAUAAUAAAUAACAAUUACAAUAAGAAUGUUACAGCUUCACUCUUUGUAUUAAAAAUGCAUUAAAUAAUAAUAUAACUUUACUGAUUUAUAUUUUUUUUUUCAAAAAUAUAAUUUAUUAAUAAUAAUAUGAAAUAUUAAAAAUACUCAAUUAAAUCAAACAUAAAAAACCGCAACAACAAAUUGGUGGCACAACGGUUAACAGCUAGACAUAUGCCAUCUUUAUACCCAUUAAUUAUGCACUGCAUAUGAAAUUCAGCAUCUCUUAAAGCAUAAACGAUAAACUUUUUCAUCUACUUUAAUAUUUUCUAUACAUAAAUAAAUAAACAUUAUAACUGAAUUUUCCUUCAAUAAUUAUUGAAAUUCAAAAAUAAUAAAUUCGUUUGGAUUGAUGGUAGGGCACAGUCAUACUCCAAUACUAAAAGGGUAAAAACUUUUUAAAAUUAAGACUCCAGCAACAUAUUUUGAGGGAGAGUUUAGAGUUUUGACUGUGUCAAAACACUAUUUUUAUAAAUCAUAUCAUUGGUUGGGUAAAGUAGUAUAUAAAAUAGGUGUUAGUAGAUAAGAUAAAGUUUAUUAAAAUUUUAAUCCAUCUAAGUUUAUAUUUUCUUAUUAAAAUUUUUUUGACAAUUAUGGCCUUAAUUAAUUUAUAGUAACAUUAGUUUAAAGUUUUUUUUUGCUAUGAUACUGCAAGUCUGCAAUUAAGUUAAAAAAUUACAUUAUUUUACUCAAAAAUUUAAACAAAAUAAUUUCAUAAUGAAUUAAUAAAGGAAUAUGUGAGGAAAUUGUAUUAUCAUUUUAGAAAUGAUAAUGAUGUCAAUUUAUAUAAUUGGACCACACACUAUAAAUUGACAUUUUUUUUUUAAUAAUGAGUUCACUACUAUAGUUAUAAAUAAAAUUCUAACUCAAUAUUUAAAUGUCUCUUUUUGUCACGUUAAAUUCAAUAGCUAAUCAAAUAAUUAUUUUUACCGAAUACUUUUACUCUAAAUAGUUAUAUAAACAGCUAAUAGCUUGUAAAACCGCUAACAGGUACUAAAACAGCUGAUAUUGUCGAACAGGUACUAAGAGGACAAAAUUAAAAGAAAAUUUUUUUUUGCAAUGUUUUAUAGGGGAAUUUCAAAAAAUUAUAGAGUUUGGGAGAUCCGCCUUGUCCAGUCCCUCUCCCUCUGCCUUGGGUCGAUAGAAUUUGAGUAAUAAAAUUUUAAAAUUUUAUGAAUUUGUUAGAUUUGUUUAUUUGAACUCAAUACUCAAUACUUGAUCUUCAUAAAUCACAUCCUUGAACUCAAUACUCGAUCUUCAUUAUUAAGAUUCUGCUGGGAUUAAUGCUCUAAUCCCGAGUGGGGCCCGUGAAGAAUGCUGGUGGUAGAAGUAAAAUAAAAUUACCGAUGAUAAAAGUUAAUAUUGCCGAUAAAGAUUUAAAUUACUAUUACCACAUUCACCUCCAAUAAUUUCAUAUUGGAUAUUAACGACCGAAUCCACCAGAAAUAAUAAUCACGAUAAAAAUUAAAUAAUUACCGUAAAUGCCAGAUAAAAAUAGGGAUAAAGAGAUUUACGUGGUUCACCCUUCAACUAUUAUGGGCUACAUCUAUAGAACAAAAACUUCGAAUAAUUCUUCUACUAAAAAUAGUAGGUACAAAAAAGAUUGCAAAAAUAGUGGCACUCUAAGUGUUUCUCAAAAACACUCCAAAAAUUAUAAUCCUAUCUAUUUUCUCUCUUUUCCAAUUUUAGGAACUCUUUUCUAAAAUUCUCUACACUUAAUUGUGUAUUCUUAUUCUUUUGUUUUUGUGUGUUUAGGUUGAAAAAAAACUUCUCCUAUUUAUAGGAGAAGUGGAUGCGUUAAUCAAUGCAUCUGCACAAUUAACGCAUACAUCUUCGUUUUGUAGCUCCAGCCUUAUUUGACCUUUUAAACAAAACGUGUUUUUCUCCUUUUUUUUUUUUUUUUCUUUUUCAAACUUGUGUGGGUCCCACACAACAGAUUCGAGUUGUAUAAUUAUGAUUAAAUCCUACAAUUGGAGAAAUAAUGUAAACCAAGUAGAUAUAUUUCUUUUUUUUUUUUUUUUUUUGUAUUAUAUAAUAUAAUUACUAGGUGUAUUUCUUAGUUUAAGAGCAUGAAGAACUCAUUUUCUAUUUAGGCUGUCUCAGCUUAUUGUAAUUAAGCAGGGCAUGCAUUUACCAUGUGGGAAUUAAAAAUUAAAAUGACAAAUGCCAAAAAAAAUGAACCCACCCUUAGGGCAUAAGCGAUCCCACCCAAUCUAUGUAUUAGAUAGCCUUUGAUAUAUCUCUAUACUUUAAUACCGCAUAAAGGCUUCACAUCCAAACAUGCUUCUUUGUUACAAUUUACAUUCAAUUACUUUAUUAAGAAUUGUUGAUUAUUUCAAGCACAAUGCAAAUGAAAAUUGAAAAUUAUUAUUAAAAAAAUGAUAAUUUAAAGCGUCAAACAAUUCAUUUAUAAAUAUAGAAAUAGGAAUAGAAAAAUUCAUAAUUGCAAUUUGGAAUAAUUGUUUGGAUUGAGAGAAAAAUAUGAAGUUUCAUGGAAUAUCUUUUCUUUUGUAGUUUUGGUUAUUUCUAUUGUAACAACAAUUAUGUAAAUUUACUUUUUGUUUUAUUGAAAAUAAAUUAGUGUUUUAAGCAGCUUAUUAAGAAUAAAUUAGUAAUUUUAGUUUAUUAACACUUAAAAAAUAAAAUGUAUAUAUCAUAGAAUAUUAAAGUGUCAUGUAGAAUGAUAAGUAAGCCAAAUGGAAUAGAAUGUUCUUAAUAAUUAAACCUUAUUAAAGAGAGAGAAAUAAAAUGAAAAAAAGCCACUUGGCAAUUGUUUAAUAAAUAUAAAUAAUGUCAAAUGGCAUAGAUGGCAAAUCUUCUGCUUUUAAAUAUGGUAAUAUUAUACAGAUAGAUUGAGAUUACAUACCAUAUUAAGCGCUAAACCAAUUAAAAAAUUUAUGAGAUUGGCAAAAUUUCUUAUCAUCUCUCUUAUUGCCAUUGCUUUUCUCAUCUCUUCUAUUAGCUCUGCAGGUCUUUCGAUCUAUUUAACUUAUCUAAUCCCGUUGGUUGGAUUUUAGGCUCUACUUCGGUUUGAGUUGAGUUUGAUUUUUAAAGUUCAAUAAGAGUUUAUUUAAUUCGGUUUGAUCCAGUUCAAAAAUAAACCAACUCAUAAACUUUGAACUCUAUUUAGAUUUAUAAUGAAUGUACAUAUAUUUUGCUACUGUUAGUCACAUUUCAUUAAUUAUUACUUUUGAUUUAUACUGUUUUUACAAAUAUCGUAUAUCAGUGCUAGCCAUUUUUUAAAAGAUGAUUCAUUGAAACAAAAUUAAAAAUAAAUUUAAUUAAUUAAUUAGAGAUCAACGAGUUAAAAGAACUCUUUACGAAUUUGCUUUAUUUAAUUAUUCUAAUUUUAACUUUCAUUUACAUUUUGUUUUAUUAGUGUACUUUAAUUAAUAGCCAAACGAGCUUUAUUUAAUUAAUCGCAUUUGUGUUGAAUCAAUUGGAAUAGUUCUUUCUAUGAUGAGGUUAACAAUACUAGAAAUGAUAGUGUCCAAAAUCUUACUUUUAUGAAUAAGAUUCCUGCUGAGGAAUAGAUGUCUGUGAAAGAUUUGUUACAGCUUGAUUGAGACAAUAAUACAAAGUAUAUUUAUUAAUUUUAAUAUAUUCAAUAUAUACCUUAUAUAUAUAUAUAUAUAUACAGUAUAAUAUUACCAAUCAAAAUUAAAUUAUUUUUAUUUUUCAACUGAUAAAUUUUAAAUCCUUAAAGAAAUUAUAUUUUUACUACAUUUAAUAUAUACUUUAUUUAAUAUCCAUCAAAUAGUUACUAUAUUAUAUUAUAUUACCAUAUAAUAUGUAUAUAUUACCAUAUUUAAAAUACAAUUAUAUGGUAUUGUAUUUUAAAUACAAUACCAUAUUUAAAAUAUAUAUACAUAUUAUAUUAAAUUAUAUUAUAUUAUAUCAUAUUAUAUUGUAUACAUAGUUACUAUAUUAUAUUAUAUUACCAUAUAAUAUGUAUAUAUUACCAUAUUUAAAAUAUACCAUAUAAGAAGGAAGCUUCUCAUAGAUAUUCAUAGAUAGUGAAUUGAGAGAGCAGGUUGUAAAGGUAGAAAAAGAAAAUCUCAAUCAAGUUUAUAAAUGAUUGUAAUGAUAUUGUAUUUUUACUAUAUUUAAUAUAUACUUUAUUUAGAAUUCAACAAAUAGUAUUUUCAUAUUAUAAUAUAUUGCCAUAUUGAAGAUAUACAUUAUAUACCAUAUGUAAUAUUCUAUUUAUAUUAUAUUGUUUAGAUUUUAAAGCCAUUUUAUAAGAAUAAAAAUGGAACCGAAUAGUAUCACUAUAGUCUGUGUAUACCUUGUAUAAUAUAUAAUAUAAUUUAUUAUUUAUCCAAUAGAAUUUAGAUUUAAAUAGAAAAUUAAUAUGACCAAUUAAAAUUAGAUUAUCUUUAUUUUUUCAACCAAUCAAAUUAAAAUCUUUAAUAAUAUUUUUGUCACUCCAUAAUUUUAGUAGAGACUUUUUUAAUAAUUCCAAAGUCCUUCCACCAUCUCACAUUUAUAGGAGUUUUGUUUUACAUGUUUUCGGUUUCAAAACCGUCAAUUCUAGUUAUAAAUCAAUCAAAUUAAAGAUUUAUUAAAAAUAAUAACUAAACAUAUUAUUCUUAUCAUAUUUAAUAUGUAUCUUAUAUAGUAUAAUGUAACCAAUCAAAAUUAAAAUCUUUAAAAUUGGUCCGUUGGAAUAUGCUUGUUGGUUGUCAUAUACAGUCAUUAUCUGUGAGUGUAGGUUGUCAGAUAUAGUCAUUAGCUGUGAGGGUUAUCGGAUACAGACAAUAUCUGUGAGAAUUUUCCUUCUCAUAUACAUCCAAAGUAACGUCUAUAGUGGACUGACAGAGUGAACUGUAAAAGUAAAAAAAACAUCUCAAAAAACAUCUCAAUCAAGUUAAUAAAGGACUGUGUUGAUAUUAUAUUCUUACCACAUGUUAAUAUAUACUUCAUUAUCAAAUAGUAUUACCAUAUUAUAAUUGAUGAUUUUAAAAUCUUUGGUGGUAUUUUUAUCGAUUCAUAAAUUUAGUAUACGUGUUUUUGAUAAUUCUAGUGGUCCCCACACAUUCUCACUUUUGUAGGAAUAUUAUAUUAUAUUGUAUCGAUUUCAAAACCAUUGGGUAUAGUUAUAAACCAAUCAAGUUAAAGAUUUAUUAAAAAUAAUAACUAAACAUAUUAUGUUUUUAUCAUAUUUAAUAUGUACGCCUUAUAUAAGAGUAUCACAUAACCAAUUAAAAUUAAAUUACCUUUAUUUUUUUUAAUCAGUAAAAUUAAAAUCCUUAAAAUUGAUCCGUUGAAAAAAGAUUGUUGGUUGUCGAUUAUAGUCAAUAUCUGUGAAAUGCUUUCUUCUCAUACAUAUUCAAAGCAACGUCUGAUAGUGGACUGACAGAGCGAGCUGUAAAGGUAAAAAGAAAACAACACAAUCAAGUUAAUAAAUGAUUGCGCUGAUAUUAUAUUCUUACUAUAUUAAUAUAUAUUUUAUUUAAUAUCAAUUAAAUAGUAUUACCAUAUUAUAAUAUUAUAUUAUAUUAUAUUAUAUAGUUUCAGUUUCAAAACUACCUAUUUGAAAAUCUUUAAUGAUAUUUUUUUCAAUUCAUAAACUUAGUGGAUGCAUUUUUUAUAAUUUUACUGUUCCCUCAUACAUUCUCACUUUCAUAGGAGUAUUAUACUCUAUUGUUUCGGUUUAAAAACCGUGAGUUCCUAUUAUAAACCAAUCAAAUUAAAGAUUUAUGAAAAAUAAUAAUUAAACAUAUUAUAUUUUUAUCAUAUUUAAUAUGUACCUUAUACAGGAAUAUAACAUAAUCGAUCAAAAUUAUAUUACCUUUAUUUUUCUAACUAAUAAAAUUAAAAUUCUUAAAACUGGUCCAUUAAAAAAGACUUGUUGGUUGUUGGUUACGGUCAAUAUCUGUGAGAAGAUUCCUUCUCAUAUAUAUCUAAAGUAACGUCUGAUAGUAGACUGACAGAGCGAGCUGUAAAGGUGAAAAACUAUCUCAAUCAAGUUAAUAAAGGAUUGGGCUGAUAUUAUAUUCCUACUAUAUUAGUAUAUACCUUAUUUAGUAUAAAUCAAAUAGUAUUACUAUAUUAUAUUAUAUUACACCAUAUAAUAUAAUAUAAUAUAAUAUAUAUAAUACACAUUAUCAUAUGAUACAUAUAUAUUACCAUAUUUAAGAUAUACAUUAUAUACCUUAUUUAAUAUUAUAUGGUUUUGGUUUCAAAACUAGUGGUUCUAAUUAUAAGAAAAAAAAGAUGGAACCAAAUAGUAUUACUAUAUUUUAUACAUACCUUAUAUAGUAUAUAAUAUAAUUUUUUAUUUUAUCUAAUAAAAUUUAGCUUUAAAUAGAAAAUAGAUAUGACCAAUCAAAAUUAGGUUACCUUCAUUUUUUCAAUCAAUCAAAUUAAAAUCUUUAAUGAUACUUUUAUUUUAAUUUAUAAACUUAGUAGAGACGUUUUUAAUAUUCUUCCGCCCAUUCUCACUUUUAUAGGUGUAUUAGGUUAUAUGGUUUCGAUUUCAAAACUGUCAAUUCGAUUUAAACCAAUUAAAUUAAAGAUUUAUUAAAAAUAAUAAUUAAAUAUAUUAUAUUCUUACUAUAUUUAAUAUGUAUUUUAUGCAGGAGUAAUUUUAUUUUUAUUAAAAUUUAGUUAUCAAAUUAUAGUUGAAUAAGAAAAUUUAUGUUGUAUUAUAAUGUGAUUUACAUUAUACAACAUUUUGUGUAGGUGCAAGGUAUAUAUAAAAGAAACAAGAAAUCAUAAUUAGAUAUUGUAAGAUCAGAAUCAGAUACACUAGGAUUAUAAUCAGAUAUUUUAUUUUAUUUUAACAAUUAUAAUAAUAUUUUAUUAUUAUAAAAGUGUUAUUCCCUAUACAAGGUUAUUAAUUAUUGAUUUUUUUGUUUUAUUAUUUCGUAAAAUAUAUAUUUUUUAUUUUAUAAAUACUUAUUAAUGUCCAAUAUAAAUUGUUGAUAAUAUUAUAAUAAAAUAAUAAAAAAAAAUAUAUGUAUAAACUAAAUUACAUUUACCCUUAUAGCCAACGUGGAGGAGACGUUGGAGAAAUCUAGUAAUAAAAAAAUGCUUCACCAAGCAUGAGAUAACAGAUUCAGCUUUUCCUUGACAGGAACCAAAAUUGGGAAAUUAUUUAGUUAGCUAAAAAAAAUUAGAAAAUGAAAAAUCAAAUUUAAUUAAUAUCAACCAUUGCAUUGAACAGUCGCUUUAAAGGGUAAGCAGGGAGAGUUAGGUAGAGGGAAAAUAUUUGAUGAGAGAGAGCAAAGCCAAAAAUGAGAAGAAGAAUAACAAUAAGACCAACAAAAAAAAAAGGGUUGGGUUCGAUUUGGUUUUGAUUUGGUUUGGUUUGGUUUGGUUUCUUGAAAAUGAGACAGGGGCAUGCUUUCUUCUCCAUACUUCCCUUUCUAAAUCCACCUACUUCUAUUCUCACCCAGUCUUUAAACCUGUCCUCUUCUCCUUCCAUUCUCUUUAUUACAGUAUCUCUUUUUUCUCUAUCAUAUGCAGACAUAAUUACUUUAAAUAAUAAUAUUGACGAAAAAUUAAAGUCCUUUCUUGACUUAUUUAUGAUUCUAUAUAAUAAACUAACUUCACACACAUAACAGGCUUUUCAAGAAACAAGAAAAGAAAUAAAGAAAUUAAAAUUCAACUUCAAGAAAACCAAAAGCCAUGAUAUCCUUAGCCUCUGUUGAACCUCCUGAACAAAAACCCUCUCCUCCUCAAAACCAAGAUCGUUCUUCUUCUUCCUCGGAAACCCAUAUUUUCAGAUCAAAAUUACCAGACAUACCCAUUUCUAAUAAUCUUCCUCUCCAUACUUAUUGUUUCGAAAAUCUUUUUAAUGUUUCUGAUAAGCCAUGUCUUAUAUCAGGUUCUACAGGCAAAACCUACACUUUUGCAGAAACUCAUAUCAUAGCUCAGAAAAUAGCUGCUGGUUUAUCGCAUUUGGGUAUCAAGAAAGGCGAUGUUAUUAUGGUUCUUCUCCAAAACUGCCCAGAAUUCGUCUUUUCUUUCAUUGGUGCUUCCAUGAUCGGAGCAGUAACCACUACUGCUAAUCCUUUUUACACCAAAAAUGAAAUUUUCAAGCAAGUGAUUGCUUCGCGUGCUAAGUUAAUCAUUACCCAAUCCUUGAAUGUUGAAAAACUAAAAGAUUUGGAAGAAAAUUUUAUUCUGAUCACCAUUGAUGACCCACCAGAAAACUGUUUACAUUUCUCAGUACUUUCAGAAUCAAACGAAAGUGAAAUUCCUGAAGUUGAAAUAGAUCCUGACGACCCCGUGGCUUUACCAUUUUCUUCAGGAACGACAGGAUUGCCUAAAGGAGUGGUAUUAACACAUAAAAACUUAAUUACAAGCGUAGCGCAACAAGUGGAUGGAGAGAAUCCAAACCUUUGGUUAAAAGAAGAAGACGUUGUUUUAUGUGUAUUGCCUCUGUUUCACAUAUAUGCAUUAAACAGUGUUUUGCUAAACUCGCUUAGAGCUGGAGCCGCUGUGUUGUUAAUGCAAAAGUUUGAGAUAGGAACGUUGUUCGAACUAAUUCAGAGACAUAAGGUGUCUGUAGCCGCGGUGGUGCCGCCGUUGGUGUUGGCGUUGGCGAAAAAUCCGAUGGUGGCUGGAUUUGACCUUAGUUCGAUCAGGGUGGUGCUUUCAGGGGCGGCGCCGCUUGGGAAAGAGCUGGAGGAUGCUCUCCGGAGUAGAGUGCCUCAGGCGAUCUUAGGACAGGUUAGUAACAGCGUCACUCAAUAUAAUUUAUUUUUUUUAAUUUUUUUUUUUUAAUGGGUAAUCCCUCCCCCCCUUUUUUUUUUGUGUCAUUUUUCUUUUUUUUUUUUUUUUUUUCUUUUAACUCUUUCGAUCUGAACUUGUGUCGUUUUCACUUUUUUGGGUUUAUUUUUCUCGGUGAGAUUUUUAAAAAAGAAAAGGAGGAUUUAUAUUUUUUUUUUCUUAAUUUGCAUUUUUCAAUGAUAAACUUCAAGUUAAUUUAUCAAGUUGAACUCUCGUGAUGAUAACUAAAUAAGAGUUUAAUUUAGAUUUCUUUGCACCAGUACCUAGAGAUGGGAGCGGAAUGAAUAUUUUAGAUCACUCAUAUAAAAAUCCGUUUAAUAAAAAUAUGAAUAAUUAUAAAUGAGUUCAGAAUGAAUAGUGAAUUAUCAGUAGUAAAUACAAAUAGGAUACAGGCAUAAAUCUAGUUAUCCACUACUCAUUAUCCGUGAUAUUAAACAAAUUAUUAGUUGUGAGCAUAACCCAGUUUCUGAGGCAAGCUAACAGGGUCGGUUCAAACCGGAACUGUAUCAUAAAGGGGAUUGAAAUCAACUUAAAAAUGGCUCAGAUUUGAAUUAGUUUCAAUUUCAAUAUUUGAAAGUACAAUCACUUGGUUUUGAAUCAAAAUCAAAAUUGAACCAACUAGUUUGAAACUGAUAUCAGUUUUAUUUCUAAAAUUUUUGAACAAUUAAUUUAUGAAUGGGUCGAUCAUGCUUUUUUUUUUUUUAAAGAUAAAGAAUAAUUUCAUUUCAUAUCAUAGAAAGAAACUAAAUAGCUUGAAAUUAUAUUCCAAACUUGAAGACAAUCAUAUUUAUAGGAAGCUCGUAUUAAUGAAUGAGUUCGAAUUAAAUUGCCUUCUGAUUCAUCUAAUGGGUCUUUUAGGAUUAAAACUCAAUUCAACUCUUUUCUUUUUUAUUUUUAGCCCAAUUACCAUUUUUAAAUCAUCAGAUUCAACUCUCAAAUCAAAAAAUUAAAAGCUUUAUUCUAGAUAAUAUUUAGGCGAAAUUUUUAUAAUAUCAAAAAAUAACUAUACCAAACUCUUAAUAUUUUCAAAUAUAUAAAACUCUAAUUAAAUAUUUUCUUUAUGUUUCCGCUUUCUAACAAAGCUAAAAAUAUUUUUUUACCUUUUUUCUUUAAUUUUUCUGUUGUCAACCUAAAUCUACAUCUUCUAAUUCUAUCUCUCUAUCAUUUUUUAAAAUUAAUUAUUCUCUAUUUUUUCCAAGUUACACGUUAAAUAUAUCAAGUUAAUUUUUUUUUUGAAAUAGUUAUAUUUCAAUUAGUCAUUAUGUAGAUUACAAUAACGAACAAUUAUAUAAAUGCAAACUUUACUAUAUAAGAUUUGGGAAAAAAAAAUAUAAGAAAAAUUGUUCAAUUAUUAUUGUUAUCACCACUUAAAAUUUACAAUUUAGAAUAGUGGACGAAAUAAAAUUUAUUAUAUUGAAAUUUGAGAAUUAAAUUUACCUAUCUCGACUUAAUUUUCUGGCUUCACCUCUGCCAUAUAUUUAAUUAGCUAUUACUUCUGGACCCUAAUGUCUAGUCACACAUAAUUCAUGGGAUAGUCCCACCCAAUUCACAUGAAUGACAUCAAAGCGGAAGUCUUUACUUUUUUUUUUUUUUUCUUUUUUUUGAAAAACGUUCAUCUCUGGCUUACUGAUUUUAGAUACUAAAACAUUUAUCUUAAAGCUAUAAUAAAGAUUUAGUAAUUUAGGAAAAAAUUUAAAAUAAAGAGACAAGAAAGCUAGUACAGAAAAGGAAAUUACGUGCCAAAAGGUAAAGAAAUGGUGAGUUGGUUUGAUGAGAACCAUGAAUUAACAAUAUUUUUAAAUAUUUUUUGCCAAUUUUGCGGCUAAUAAUGGCCACAUGAUUUCUGCAGCCGCACAUCACAUGGGAUCUUAAUUCUUAAAUCAGAUUCAGGAGUAUAUAAAUGUUUUGCCGGUUCUUUACUUUUCACCUUUGUGUUGUAAAUACUUCCUAUCUAUUGAUAGCUAUAUGUAACUAUCCAAAUUUUAGUUUUUUUUUAUUAAUUUUUAACCACAAAAUAUAAAUUUUUUAAUAAUUGUUUUUAUUUUAUUUUUUUUAUAGUGAAUAGUUAGAAAUAUUUUUGUUUUUUUAAAAAACAUUUUAUUAAUGUGUUCAACCAUAGAUGGAACAGGUAAGUCAUUCUCAACGGAAAAUAUGAUAUUAAUUACUUGUCUUAAAAAUGUAGGGCUAUGGGAUGACAGAGGCAGGGCCAGUUCUAUCAAUGGGCUUGGGGUUUGCAAAGCAGCCAAUCCCAGCUAAGUCAGGCUCAUGUGGAACUGUGGUUAGAAAUGCAGAGCUCAAAGUUAUUGACCCUGAAACUGGUUCAUCUCUUGGCUACAACCAGCGUGGUGAAAUUUGCAUACGUGGACAACAAAUUAUGAAAGGUUCAUACAGAUAUAUACGUAUAUUUUGUUAUUUUUAAAAUUUUUUUAUUAAUUUAAGCUUUAAUAUACUUUUAACUCUAGUUCUUAAUCAUAAUUAUUAUUUGUUAAUUGAUAAAUUAAAAUAAUUUAUUAGGAUAUUUGGAUGAUCCUGAGGCCACAGCCAACACAAUUGAUGUUGAAGGUUGGCUUCAUACUGGUGACAUUGGUUAUGUGGAUGAUGAUGAUGAGAUUUUCAUUGUUGAUCGAGUCAAAGAAAUCAUCAAAUUCAAAGGCUUUCAGGCAUCUUCCCUACUAAUUUCUAUCUUUAUUUAUUUAUUUUUCUUGUCAAGAAAGAAAAAUUUUUACCUAAAAAUUAAUUUUUUUUUAAUAUUUUGUUCUGAACUUUUGUGUUCAGGUUCCACCAGCAGAGCUCGAGGCCCUCCUUGUCAUCCAUCCAUCAAUCUCAGAUGCAGCUGUCGUUCCGUGAGUUUCAGCUUUAGUAGCAAAGAUUGCUUCUUUUUUUCUUUUUUUUUUUUGAAAAGGAGCAAAGCUUGCUAAUACCAUAAUUAAAACAUAAUUAUAUUCAAACUAAGGCCUUUAUUAUUAUUAUUAUUAUUAUUGUGUAUUAUCGUGGAUGUGUUUGUUAAUUAUUAGGCAAAAAGAUGAAGGUGCUGGUGAAGUUCCUGUUGCAUUUGUGGUUCGAUCUAAUUCUAAUGGGCUCGAGCUCACUGAAGAAGCUGUAAAAGAAUACAUAUCAAAGCAGGUAACUGGAAAACAGAAUAUAAAUUCAUGUUUAGAAGAGAUUUUUGCAUUUGCUUUCCAUUAUGAUUGGAUUACUUUUGAUAAACUCUAUUUGCAAUAUUUAAAGUUUAGCAAAUAUAUAGAAGUAGAUCUGUAAAGUAAUUGUAUUUGUGCUUCAAACAGGUUGUGUUCUACAAGAGACUGCACAAAGUGUACUUUGUGCAUGCAAUUCCCAAGUCUCCCUCUGGAAAAAUAUUGAGAAAGGGCCUAAAAGCAAAGCUAGCCGCAGCCUCUCCAUUGUCUUAGAAUCCUUUCUGUUAUUUCAACUUCUCUUAGGCAUUAUAUUUAAUGUCUCCAUGGAAUAUGGAAGAGAAAUCAUCUUCUUCUAAAUUAUGUUUUUUUUUUUUUUUUUUUUUUCUUGCAUGAAUCUAAUGAAUUUUUCUUUCAUGUGAAUCAAAAGCUCAAACUUUCUUUUUAAUUAUAUAUAUAUAUAUAUAGAUGCAAUUGGGUUAAAGAAAAAUGCAAGGAAAUCUGAUAAAAGUGUAGACUUCCAUAUAUAUAUCCAAGCCCUAUUUUAGUUUAGGAGAGAUUUUAAGAAGCUAUAGAAAUUCACUUGUGAUUUGGAUUAAUAGCAAUAAACCAUAUAGAAUUUCAUUGGAAUUUAUGAAUUAUUUUGCUCAAAACUCUAAUUUAGUUCUUAAUUUUAAAAUUAUGAAUUAGUUGUCAUACUCUAGUUCUUGAGAUCUGAAAUUUAGAAUACGCAUUAAUUUUUAAUAUUUUAAAAUUUAUUGCACCUUUCAAUGAUUAAAAUUCAAGAUAUUUUAAUCCCUCAAGAUUUUGUAUUUUUUUUUAAGACUAUAAUUGUUAAGAUUUUUUUUUUUUUUUUUUGGUAAUUAAUCCUACUACGAUCAAUUUCAUGGUCUCACUUUGUAAAUGAAUUUUAUAAAUUCAUUAAUACGAAUAAUUAAAUCCAUAAUUAACAGGGUGAUGUCAUAGUAGCAAUUUGAGGCUGUCAAAUGAUUUAUAGUUGUUACUUUAAUAUCUCAAAUUAAUUUUUAUUAUCCUUCUGGAGAGAAUUCCAAGAUUAGUUAAAUAAUCCCUUUGCAUAACACUUCCCAUUUGUAAAUCAUGCGCAAAAGCAGGAGGAUGCAAUUGUCAUCUGCUCCAGUAAGGUAGUAGUAUGCUAGAGGAUUCCCUUGCUAUGCUAGAGUAUUCUUCUUUACACCCGGUUGUGGAUUGUAAACGAGCUAAGUCUGUUGGCAAAUGAAAAGUUUCAAAAAAAUUGACUUUAAUCAAGUUCGAGCUUAAUGAUAGCUCAAAAACUAUCGAUACUUAUUGAGCUCUAUCAGCCUUUAUAUAUAUAUAUAUAUAUAUACAGAUUACAACGAAUAUUAAUUAAUGGAGUCGAACAAAAUUAUAUUGAACGAAAAGUGACUUUCUUUUAUAUAUAUAUAUAUAUAUAUAUAUAUAUAUUUAUUUAAACUUAUUUGAGCAUCCAGCAUUAAGUCCUUGAGCCAAGCUUGAAUUUAAAAUUUUUCGAAUUGAACUAGAGCCUCAAGUAGAGCUUGAGCCUAAAAUUUUCAGACUCGUCGAGUUUUGAGCUGAGCUUCAAGCUUGGCUGGUUCAAACUCUACUCGGCUCAUUUACAUCCUAUUUACAACCCACACUAGCACUUCAGGAUAAUCCUAAGGAAAUUUCCCAAGGAUAGAGAAAGACCUUCAUAGGAAAACCUCUAUUGAAUGCCGUUUCUAGAGAGCCUUCACCAUGACGACUGAGUCGAGAUUCAUGACAAGGUGAAUAGGAACACCCUAACCAUCAAACAAUCAAAAUUACCACUGACUACAUCUUUCUUCAGUAAAACAAGGAAACAACAUAGCUUAAGGCAAAGACCAGAAGGUAAGAACAUUGAAUACUAAUAAAGCAGGAUAUUGAUCAUGUCAAACACUUUAUUCUGUUGAUACUGAACACAUUAUAAUAUCUUCAGUACAAGGAUUUAUCAAUUGAAAGCGCAAAACGAUUGAAACAAGAAAAUGUAAAUGCGCAUCGACUGCCUGAUAACAAGCAUCAUGUGCGAAUGAUUAACAGUACAAGUAAGAUACCGAAAUUCCUAGUGAUGAUGAUCUUGGACGUAGCGUAGACCACAAUACUUACAAACGGCUGGCUCCUUUAAGUCAAGGCAUAUGAACUCAAUUGGAUGCCCAAGUGCAGGGUUAGUGUCUGCAACAAGAAACAAUAAACAACAAUGACAAUGUUAAUCCUGAUUAUCCUUUUUAUGUCUUUUGGAGAAAAUACCUUGAACAAAUGAACAACUAACCUCCCUCGCAUGCAACAAUCCUGCCUUCAACCUUGAUGGGGGGAAUUUCAUUGAUCAACUCCAUUGGAGAUUUCUUGGUAGUAUCCUAAGUAAAAAAGUAAUUUUGGUUAUUUGAGUCACUUCUUUAGAUCAGACAUCCCCAACCAACAAUUUAAAUGAAAUUGACCCAAACAUCAAUUUGCAAGUAAAUCUAGUUAACGGGCAGAAUGACAAUAGUAUAACAACAGCAGAUGCGGUAACUGCCGCACAAAGUCACUGGUGUAGCAAUCAAAGGCCAUAACGCCAUAAGCAUAAACCACAAAAUCAUAAAACAAGAGUAAACUCACUUACUAACCAGUAACUUACUUUAAAAAUAAAGGGAAAAAGAAAGAAAUGAGAUGGAAGUCUGAAUGAUAUGGAGGAUUUUCUGUAAAUAAUUAAAAUGUCAAUAAAAGAACCUGAAAAGGUGCAAGAAUACAGGAAGAAAUUAAUUUAGAAGAACUCAAUCACAAUCUAAAAUGAAAGCUUCCUUCUGGAAUAGUCAAGGGCAUCUAUUUCUUGGUAUAAAUUUCACUAGGAAUAAAUAGAAGCCCAUUACAGCAUCGCUUCUUGAAAGCAUUCUUUUCAUCUUAAAUUCUUGUAACCUAUGCUCACCUAAUCUCAAGCUACUUGAACAUCAUUAGGGAUGUAAACAAGUCAAAUUACCCGUGAGCCAUUUAGGCUAAAGCUAGCAAAAUGUUCAAAUUUGACUCAACUUGAGCAUCUCAGAAGCCCAAUCAUUAUUAAUUGCUUUUACAUAUAAUAUUUAAAUAAUAAUUCAUUACAAAGAUUACAGUAAUCUGAGCUCACUCAAAUUCAAGCUUAAAUUUGAACCUAGCCAAAAGCUUGAUUUGUUUUAAUGUUUGUCUAGUCAACUCGUAUGAAGUUCAAGUCUAAAGCUAUUCCAUAGAGUUUCUGAGUAUAUAAAAUAAACUUUCAUCAUGAACGCGUCAAGUACUAAUCCUUGAGUUGUAAAACCCAGUCAAAUUGGAAUUGUAUGCUAUAUACCUUUACAACAUCUCCAGAAAUUAUUAAUAGACCAACCAGGUAACAACCCAUUAACUUCAUCAAUAUGGAAAAACUAUAUCAACGAUGAGAUAUUUGUCAUGCUUUAUUGUCUUAGAAAACAUUAAACUGCCCUAAAAAGGAAAAUAUAAUCACAUGCAAGGAAAUAUGUUCUUCAAGGAGAGAGAGUACAAUGGCACAUAUAAUGAAACAGGAAUCAAGCAGGCAGAAAUCAGAAUAGAUUACAAUCAGGCCACAUACUGCAGCAACAAUUAAAAGAUUGGAAUAGCAAAUUGAAGCAAUGAAUAAAACUGCCCCACAAAAUGCACAAAAAAAAAAAAAAAAGCAAGUCAUUGACAGGAAUAUUAUCUGCUAACGUAAAAAUUUCAAAAAUAAGAAUGUAUGUCAUCAAUUUGAGAUCAUGGCUCCAUGACAUAAGCUGAAUGCUAAGCUAUGACACACAGGGUACUCACUCAGCUGAAAUAGGCUUAAUAAUUGAAUACACAACACUAGCAUUGACUUAUCUCUAACACCCAUAGGAACAGUUAUAUUAGAACUUAUUCUCCACUAACUAAAGGGAGAGCAGCUUUAUAAGGGCGCUAAGCAUUUUCAUCAAGAAGAAAGGACAAUUAUAUUUGAAAUUCACAAACAAAGACAAGUGUAAAAAUGUCUGAGAAUAUGGCCUUUUGCAAGUCGCUAAGCGAACACCCUGAAUAAGUGAUUUUCUUGCUUGAUAAUAUCUUGUGUAUGUAUAUUUUUUUUUUCCUCUAGGAAAAAUGGCAAUAUGUGAACCUAAAGGCUAAACUCCAAACCAACCAUACAGGCUACAAGUGUCAAGCUAAAAGCCACAAACAACAGAAAUUUCACAGCCAUUAAAUUGGAAAAGAAGAAAAUAUUGUUUCACUCCAGCAUAAAGCAGUUUAUUAAAAUUCAACUGCUAAGAGUUUAAACCUCUGUCCAAGAAAUGAGAAAUAAAUAAAAUUCUCCCACCCAUGGCUGUCAAAAAAAUCUACAAGACACAUUUUUUCCCAACAAGCUAAAAUGCUUUGCCGUGACAUUAAAAAUUUCAUAUAGAAUUUCCAUAUAUGUAAUCAGUUUGACCUAUAUGCAAGUUAAAGACAAAAUAUUUCGUUGUUGAAUGGAUGGGAUUUCUAUAUAUAAAAAAAAAAAAAAAAAAAAAAAAAAAAAAAAAAAAAAAAAAAAAUUUUUUCAGUCAGCAAGACCCCUAACCGAUUCGUUUUACUUGAGCUUUACACGAAAAAUUUUCUUUACUGCGCCACAAUAGCCUUAGCAACGAAAUGAAAUGAUUACCAACUAAAAAACUUUCAUGAUCGAUUCAAAUAUCUGAGGACAACUCAAAUUAGAUCAACUACACCACAAUCUCCCAGCUCUCGCCCGUGAAACCAAAAUUUCAACAGUUUUAAAAUACCUAACAACAUUACUCGAUUCUACCAUUUCCAAAUUUCCAAGUGGCAAAGUUCUUUUCUUAUCAAAAAGAAUCAAUUAAGCAGGCAGAAAAAAGGUACCUGCAUCCAUUUGGCUGUGUGGUUGCUGAUUUGACUGGUAACAAGGCUGAAAUUUCUGGUGCUCUGUCUCAAAUUGGACGAUCUCGUUAGGGUUCUCAACAAACUCGACGCCAUUGUUGAUACCUGCAAUUUUAGAGAGGUUUUUAAUUUAGAACAGAAAUGGUCACCUUAUAGAUUUGCAUGGACCAAGCGGAUUGAGGCCCAUUAAUGCAAAGGCCCAUUAAAAGAAUAGGAUUCUUUACAAUCCCAUAGAAAAUGAUUUAUUUUUCUUAAUUAUAAAUUUAGUGUUUAAAUUUUAGAAAAAUUUAUAUUUCAAUAUUUCAAUGGAAAAUAUUUACAAUCAAGUGUCAGAAUCGAUAAAUUUUUUUCAAUUAAAUGUUUCAAUUAAAUGUCUCCAUCUAUGUGGCUUGCUAAAAAUAUAAAUAGAACGUAUGAGACCAUUAAUUAUUAAAAAUAACACUGUGUAGGAUUUCAAAUAGCUUGACACGUCAAAUCUGACGUUUCAAGCAGUGUAUCAAACCAGUAUUGCUUAAUUAAAACGAAUCGAAUUAAAAAUCAUCUACAAUCCUCUACGUGCUUCUUCCUUCAAGCGAUCUCUGAUCGCUCUUCAUUCUACAUGAACCCCAGCCCGCUCCCGAUUGCUAGCGCCACCAUCACCAGCUAAGCAAUAAGGGACUACCACCUCCGGUCAUUUUUUGUGACCCAAAAAUGAAAAUAAAGUACACCACAAGGAUUCUCCUCAAAUAGAGACAUAGUCAUAUACGAAAAUCAUGAUCUAACAACUGAUUUGUGUACCAAUUAAUCCAAUUAAAAAAAAUUCUUCUAGAAUUCUUUGAGAAUUUUUAUUGAAUACAAAGUGAACCAGCAACAAAUAACUUUAUUAAAAGUCACUAACUUGAAGAAACCCCCUAUACAAAUGUAACAAAUAGAAUAACCACCGUAGUAAACACCAAAUGAACUAAGUCAACAAAUGAAUCAUAUUAAAAUUGGAAAAAAAAUAAUAAGAAGAACAGAGUACAAGUAGUUCUCUUUAAUGUGAUUAUAAGACUGCAGUGAUAUUACCGAUCCGAAGAUAAUAUAAAUUGAAAGAAGAAGAGAUUACUAAGAGAGAAAAGAGCGAGUGGAUCUAAGAAAUGAGUGAUUUUAUUUUUGUCGUUUGGCCCUCUUUUCGACAUCGAAGGGGAGUGGAAUGGCGUGGGACAUUCUGCCGGAGUUUAUAAAACCUCUCCAGUCAUCAUCGUCAUUACCAGAAGCCGAAUCUUGACCAUUAACAAAAGUGAUAUUGGAAUGAAUGGUCGAAUUCGAUGGCGCGACCCAAAACUGUUUGCAAAGAUUGGUAUAAGAGGAAGGGUAAGGCCGUUUUUGACUCACCUAGUGCACUAAAACUCGCCGGCGGAGGCAUUGGUGGCAGGAGUUAAGAACUGCCCUCCUCUAGCUUGUCCUUUCACGCAAUAGAGGGUCAAAGGAAGAAUCACUUUGGGUCACGAAAAGUGACCGGAGGUGGUGGUCCUUAUUGCUUGGCCCGUGAUGGUGGCACUAGUAAUCGGGAGCGGGCUGAGGUUCAUGGAGAAUAAAGAGCAAUCAGAGAUCGCUUGAAGGAAGAAGAACGUAGAGGAUUUUAGAUGAUUUUUAAUUCGAUUAGUAUUAAUUAAGCAAUACUGGUUUGAUACCCUGCUUGACACAUCAAGCUAUUUGGCGUCCUACGGAAUGUUAUUUUUAAUAAUGGCGUCCUACAUAAUGUUAUUUUUAAUAAUUAGUGAAUUCCUCGUGUCCUAUUCAUAUUUCCGACAGAAAAAACAUUAUCUAUUCCAACAUUUAAUUACAACAUUAUCUAUUCCAAUACUUGAUUACAAACAUUUUUUAUGGAGACACUGAAAUAGAAAAUUUUAGAAAGCUAAACACUAAAUUUAUAAUUAACCCUCUUUUUUUUAGAAGGAAAAUGAUUUUAUUAUUUCAAAAUAAUAAAAGAUCUCUUCUAUUGCAAACAGUACGAAUAUAAAUAAUGAUUUUUUAAUCUUUUUUUUGUGAAGAAAAAAAUUAAAUUCAUCAAAAAAUAAAAAUAUUUUGAAGAAAUAUUAAAUUCAAUCAGCCCAAAUUCAAAUUUUCUGUUUGAUUGAAUAAAUUUUAAAUAAUUAAGGAAUCAUUUUACAUGUUAACAAGCCGCAUGAAAUUAUUGACUUGUCGUUCGACGAUAGCUGAUAUGCUGCAAUGGAUAGUUAUCUGAGUUCACGUAUUCCCCCAAUGAGAAGCCCUUCUUGAUAUUCCAUUUAUGGAUUUUUUAGAAUGUUCGAAGUUUACACGAACUGUCGUUCGACUACCGUGAUAUGCCUCACUUAUCGUCUACUGUUUAAGUUGCAUUUUCCCACGAGUUAAACGACACCUCUUUACCGAUAUUUUCUCCAUGUAAGGGCACUUUUAGAAGUGCUGACUUGCUAAAAGUGACUUGCAGUUUCAAGGAUAUCUCAACAUCUCAUAUCCUAGAUCGCUGUGCCGUAUUGCUGUUUACUCCACACUGUUCAAUUUUCGCAUGGACGUAAACUAGUUUACUCGGCCAUCACCGAAAAGCAUUUCAUACCCAUCUUUGCAGCAGGAUUCAUCUUCAAACACUGGAGAAGCUCUUUACUGCGUGUUGCCUCUUGCAUGCGAUCACCUAGCAUUUCUUCAUAUGUUAGAUACUCAUAUUUUAGAUCCAAUUUCGAGGUUAUCUAGGAAUGGGAUCUUCAAAUUGUUCAUGGAUCGCAAAAGAACUUCAGCCAUGGGUUUCUUUCCAGCAGAUUUGUACAAAUGUAUGGCAGCACUCAUAAUAAAUCGGUCAGGCUCCGCAUGCUCCCUUAUCCGCUCAAAAAAGUUUAUGCCUUUCUCAACAUGUCCAUAGUCCAUGUAACCUCUCAGCAUAGUUCGGUGACAUCCAAGAUCAGGACUUAAACCAGUUGUCAAUAGUUUCUGGUAAACCCUUUCUGCUUCUGCCAGAAGACCAGCUUUUGCGUAAGCAGAAAGUAAGUGGUUAAAAUGACUACAUGAAGGCGAAAUGCCUUUCUUCUUCAUAACAUUGAUGGUUUCCUCUGCUUCCAAGUAUUUCAAACUCUCUGUAUAAGCUUGUACAAGGGAGAGGUAUGUGAAGGAGUCCGGAGGCCAGCCAUCUUUCUGCAUGGCUAGGAAAAGUUCCUCUACUUCACGAUAAAGUCCUGCUACGGCGUACACAUUGAUCAUAAUAUUGUAGCUAACCUGCAUUUUCCAUGUGAAGAUCGGGUGGUAAGAGCUUUUGUUAUUUGAAAAAAAAAAAAUUCUCAUGGUGAAAGAUGAAAAGCUAGAAUGAUUGAUUAUUCUCGCAUUUUGGGGUAGAAAUUCACCCCUCAAAAUGAGUUGUUGAGAUGACUGAACUAGUCACUAAAAUCAACAGUAUAAGUCAAAAGAUGUAAUUCUUGUAAAACUACUCAGUCCAAUGACAAAGUAUAAAGUUUUGUAUCUGAGAGAGAGAGAGAGAGAGAGAGAUGGAGAUAAAAAUUUCAUUUCGUGUGCGACCAUAUACUAUGCAACCUAUAAAGUAUAAAGUUUUGUAGUACAUUUAUGAACAUACCUUUCCUGGUUUUAUCCCUUCUUCCUGCAUUUUGGUGAACAGAACAGAUGCUUCAUGCCUCUUACCUUCAAAGUAGACAAAAAUUGCCAGGUUAUGUUAAUACCUUGAGCAAUGAAGAAAGGAAUGCCUUACAAACCUCAGUACUAAAGUAAAACAAAAUAUACCAAUUUUAAAAGGAAGCGAAUCUGCCACCUCAUAAAAACAUUUAAUGCUAUAUUGGGAACAUAUAUAGUAUAUGCCAAGUUUAUGAUUUAUCUUUCACACUAAAAGCGUACACAAAUCUCCUAUAGGAAGUGAAAUUCGUUGAUGCUUUUUUGUGCUAAACAUGAACUAAGCCAAAAUAGCAAGAAAUUGUGUACUUUAAGUGCAAUGAUAUUUGUUUUAAAAAUUCAAAGCAAUGAUGAAAAGAAAAGAUAUCAUUAUUUGAGGUAUGCAAAAAAAAAAAAAAAAAAGAUAUUAUAGGACCUUAAGAAAUUCUAAUACAUAUUCAAAAGAUCUCGCAAUGGAGGAAGAGGUGAGUUAGUACCAGCCUUGCCAUAAUAGCUAAUUAUAUUCAUGUAUGUCUUCUCAUCCAGGGACAGACCCAAGCUGCAAGCAGUGUUAAACAUCUCGACAGCCUUAUCCAGCUUCUGACCUCGUCCAUAGACACUGCAUUAAUAAUUAAUUUUAUAAAAGCUGAAGCCCCAAAUAACAAAAAUAAGAUAUACAAAUGUGAUUAGUUGUUUCUUUUCAUAAAGUUGCUGUCACCUAAUCAUAGUGUUGUAUGUCUGAAUUGAUGGACUGACUCCAAAGGAAAGCAGGCGUUCAUAGAUGCUGGCUGCAAAAUGCAAUCUACCUGCAACAUCACUUCUACAGAUCAAUGCAUACUUUAUUCUGUACUUAUCUUCAAAAUUAAUGAGAUCAUCUGUAUCAACCUGCUUUUAGCAUUGCCUUAAUAAAAAUGUUGUAUGCCACAGUAUCAAGCUCCAUAUUAUCCUGAAUACUCUUACGGAUAAUCCUCUCUGCUUCUUGAUGUUUGCCUGGAAAUGGAAUAAUCUUGUCACCAAUCAAAAUUGCCCUAAAGUUAGUAGCAUUGCCAACUACACACAAGCAUGCCCAUCAUGACUGCCUUUUUAUAAAAUCACCAACUAGGCUGAGAUGGAAAAUUUUAACUUCGGAAACUAAAUUGUUGUCAGCAACAGAAGUGUCAUGAGGACAAAUCAUUUGAAAGCUUGAAAGAGUAACUAUAUUGGAUCUGAAAAUAUAGAAGCUAACAAAAAAUGUCGUUGGAUCUGAAUAACUACCAAAGAAUAUACGACAAUAAAUCUACUAGUUUAACUAGAGUUAGUCCUACCAGAAUUAGUCAAUGAAUUCACAAGUAUGCCAACGCCAACAGCACCUAAGUCGUGCCCUUUAUCAGUUACUUCUUUAUAAAGCAAGUAUGCAUCCUCAGAUUUACCACAUUUAGCAUAUGCGUCAAUCAUUGAAUUAAAUAUUGAUUUUCCACAAGUUGGGGAAUCUGCAGCUGCUGCAAAGACCUCUUGAGCCUGCUUUAGCUUUUGCCUUUUACCACAUAAAUUAAUCAAUGAAGAAAUUACUUCAUCCUCUAAUCUCCAGCCCAGCUUGGUUACUUGAGCAUUAACAGCCCCUGCCUUACAUGUAUCACCUAAGCAGAAGACGAUAUGUUAGUCCUAAAAGACAUCAAAGAGUUAUAAAAACAAAUAAAACUCUUAUGCAGAGAUGCAGAAAUAAAUAACACUGUCAAUCAUAAAAUGUGAAAAUGAACAUUUCAUACCUUCCCUGAUGAAGUUGUUAACUACUUGACUCACUAUAGACAAACCACCGCCAGUCCCAAGUAACAACUUCAGGAUUUCUUGUAUCUUAUUGAAGUCGCCGUGUCUAAAAUACAAAGUAAUGAUAAGCCCAAGAGCCGUAGUGUUGGCUUGAUCAAAGACCGAGAAGUAUUCACAAUCCUUGUUUUCUCCAUGCAUUAUCUUACAGAAUGUCUGGAAAAAUCUACUCUCUCUGAAUGAUACAUUUGUGCCCAUCUCUUUUGUCAGCAGUUCAGCUUCUCUUAGCAUGCCCUCCUCGCAAAGUACUUUAAUAACUGUCCUAUAAAGCUCCUCAUCAAAAUCUACUUGAUCUUUUCUUAUUUGGAUGAUAAAGUCCUUAGCUUUUUCAGUCAUCUGCAAGCUCAGAUACAAAUUGAGCAUGUCAUUGCAAGAGCCAGCAUCAGGAAGUCCAGUCUUUGAUAAAGCAUGAAAAGUACUUUCAGCAGAGUCCAGAUCUUCUUUCAUAACAUAGCAUUGCAACAGAACAAUAUAAGCAAAUCUUGAUAACCAAAUAUUUCUAGACUUCAUCACUUCAAUCACACUCAAAGCUUUCUCAAAAUUUCCUGAAUUAAGAUGCACUUGUGCCAUGGCUAAAUAUGUUUUCUCAUCACUUAACAAACCCAGUUGCUCAGUCUCUUCAAACGUUCUUUGGGCAUCCUCAUACAGGCCAAGUUUCCCAUAUAUUCUAAUGAGCAACCCAUAGAUGACUUCAUCAGCCGCAAUUUUCUUGCUCUGCAUUUCUGUAAAGAGAGAAAGGGCUUUAGAAUAAUCCGCUUUUUUAUAAUACAUGGUCAGCAGUGAUGCACAUGUGAAAUUACUAGGAACUAUUCCAUGAGAUUGCAUUUCCUCAUAUAAUCUCCCUGCUUCAUCCCAGUUAAAAUUUCUAAUACUAAUAGUAAUAAGCAAGCUAUAUGUCACUUCCUCAGGAACAUGCCCACCGUUCUUCAUUUCAUUAAACAACUUAAAAGCCUCAUCAUGAAAACCUUUCUUGACAAGUGAACUGAUAAUCACAGUAUAAGUAAAACUAUUUGGUGUCACCCUUUUAUCCACCAUUUUCCUCCAUAAUUCUAUGACCCUGCCAUGAAGAGAUUUCUUCUGCAGAGAGGACAGCAUAAAGUUGUAAACUGAAACUGAGAGUAUAAUUCCCCUUUCUUGUAUAGCAGAAUAAAAUGAAGACAUAGCUUUAUGUCGACCCCAUCUUGCAUAUGAACACAACAUAGUACCACAAGCAACUUCAUCAGGUUCACAUCCCACUUCAAGCAUCUCCAAGAAUGUCUGUUCAGCCAACUUGAUUUUACCAACUUGCCCAUACAUUCGUAAAACAAUUGUGUAGACUAUGACACUUGGCCGAUAGCAUAACUGUUAGAGCACAGUUCUGUCAUGUUCACAAAACUAAUUUCUAAGAAAAAGAGAAUCAAGUUUUAGUCAAGCAAAAAAUAAAUAAAAAAAAUCAAUUGCUUUGCAGCACACUAAGGGUUAAAAGAAGUCUAAAAUAAACACUCAUUAGAAGCUAACAACCAAAUUCCAUAUGAAGUUCACCAAUAUAAAUUUAUACACUUAUCUGAAGACAAGUAAAUUAAUUCAUUUUAACAAAAUAUAAAGUCGGUACUAAAAAGGGCGUGUAGCUAUCCACUGUAAACCCACCAGAAACCAAAUACAAACAUCUCAAAGUAUGAAUUUUCCAGCCAAGUCCCUGAAUUAUAACUACCACAUACAAAACAAUAAAGCUAUUAAGAUUGAGCAAUAUGCAUAUAUAUAAGUAUCCACAGGAGGGGGAAAAAAAGAUAUAAUACACAAUAAUUAAAGGAAUUCAAAAUUAGAGAAUAUACUUGCAAUUUCAUCCAGGCAAAGAAGUCUCUAGCCUCCCUCCAUCCUUUCUGCUCCUUCAGAACAACACACAUCUCUUGAAAAGUUAACUUCCCUACAAACCCACUCAUUAGUAACCUCACAUUUCUCUCCUCUUCUCUCUUCCUAGCCAUCCCCCUCACUGUCUUUAUGGCUGCAACCACAUGCUUUCCAUAAAGAUGCCCAUUCUUAUUAUCCUCCAAGUACUUCACCAUCUGUUCGGGCGUUCUCUUUAUCCAUUUGGGCGUCUGGGCGUGUGGACCCUGGUGUUUCCGCAGCAAGCUUAAGUAUUGCGCUUUAGCUUUGAUUAUGCGCCUUGCGUUGUCGUCUGAUAAGGGUUUCUUUGGGUUUUUUGAUCUGGGUUUGGGUUUAGAAAUGUUACCGUCGCUUAAAGACCAGGGGUCUGAAUGAAUUGAAGACUUGAUGGAGGUUUUGUAGUUUGCUUUAACUGGUCUGUGAGAUUUUGGUUUUGGUUUGAGAGGUGGAGGAAGGAAGGAGGACUUGAGGAUGAUGGAGUCCAUUUCUUUUCUUUCUCGCCGUUUCGUGGGAAAUUUGGGAGUUUCGCGCAAGUUUUUGAAUUGAAAGAAGGAGCUGGAUGUAGCGAUUUUGCAGUGACAGGAUUUGCAGAAUACAAGAUAAACUUUUGUUUUCAGUUUUAAUUAUUUGGAUAUUUUUUGUUCAUAGGAAGUGGACAUGGGCUUGACACUCAAGUCUACCCUUGACCUUUCGUCCUGUUUUUAUUUAUUAUAAGUAGUUUUUGCCGAUUAGUUUUUAUCACAAUAUAAUUCAUUUUCAGGAUUUUAAAAAAUAAUAAAUAAUAUUUUUUAAUAUUAUUUUUAUAUAAUAACUCCUCAAUUAUUGUUAUUGAGAUAAAAGACAAUUUGAUCAAAUUAUGAUUAAAUUAUCCUUGAAUUUGUUAUAAUUUAAAAGUAUUAAUUGCUUCUUUAAUUAUUGUACAAGUAUUUUGAAAUAAAUAUCUCAAAACAUAGGGAGUAAGUUAUAUUCAUUCUACCCCAUAUAUAUAGAUUCACUUUUCUUUUUCAUUUAUCCAAAAAUGUAAACCUAUUUCCUUUUUCUUUUUUUAAAAUAUCAUUUAUUAUCUAAUUUCUUAACAUAUCCCUAGUCAAUGUACAUUUUACAUUUACAAUUGAUAUGCAUCAUUUAUAUUAUAAAGAAAUAUCUUGAGAAAAAAAAAAACCAAACAAAAGAUAUAAUUCAAUUAUAUUAAUUAGUUUUUCUUAAUCUAUGUGAAAAGCUAAUUAGUUUUUAUUAGUCUAUAUGAAAAUCAAAAGAGGGCUAUAUAUAUAGAAUAGAGGAAAUUUGAAGUUCUGAUUAAAUGCUUUUAUCAUUGUAAUUGUCGAUGGUCAUUCAUUAUUUUUAUCAUGAUGAAUAAAAAAAAUUAAUAUCAUAAAUUUUUAUCAUCAUACGUUAAGUUAUAUAAUAAGGUAGAAAUAAAUUAAAAUUUAGUUGAAAGAGAGUUAGGAUGGAAGUGAUUUAACUUUUCAAAAUCAUCAAUCAUAACUAUUACUUGUACAAAAUUUAUCACUACCUAACUUUAACGGAGGGCUCGUCAGAAAGUUAUGGGCUGAAAGCAAGGGAACAAAACAAUACAGACUAUUGCAUUCUUCAAUUUAUAGUCAUGCUCAUACUCUGUGCUUCUUUGGGAUAGAAGAAAAAGCUGCACUAUUAUGCACCCAAAAAAAAAAAAAAAAAAAAAAAAAAAAAAAAAAAAUUGGAAUCAACUUGCCUAUCCAUCUGCUAACAUCCUUCAUUCAUAGGCCUCGAAAUGCUAAUAAAAGAGAAGUACAAAGAAACUGUGCAUGCAGUAUAUGAAUAUUUGUUAAAGAAAUACAUAGAAACUGUGUACAUGAAUAUUUCUUGUACAGAGCAUAAGGGCAAGCAGCUAACUAAGAUAACAAAUAUAACCAUCUUUUGCUACCUCUUAACACAGAUGCAUCACACAUUGGGCUUACUACCUCCUAAACAUACCCGAAUUUUGAAGUGUUCGGCUAUACUCAGCAAUGAUGGCAGAGCUUUUAACUAGUUCCCAUAUCUUCGCAGAAUUUUUCAGCCAGUCCCGUUCUGAGACCGUCUUUGCAAAGGAAGGGCAGUCCAUAGAUAAAACCUGAAGGGAAAAAGAGUAUAAAACUGAGAAUUUCAAUCUUCUGUCAUAUGCCAUGACCAGAAGCAUGAUAAUCAAAUAGCUAAAACAUUAUAUACACUUUAUUGUAAUAAAAGAGAGAGAUAGAGACAGACCUCAUCUCGCAGUUUCCAUAGUGCAGAGAUGAAACUCUCGUGUUGAGGUCUUGGCAAGUCAUCUCUGUUGUUAGAUGGGAUUAAAAAUAAAUUCAGAGGUGAAAAAUGAACAUCAUUACACCGAGUAGUAGAAGCCACGGAAGACGAGAGAUCUUCUUUUCCCUUGUUUUUGCCUUUCUCUCUCACAAAUGAAGAUGAGCUGAAGUACAGUGCGAGUGCCUUCUUCAGUUGCAUUGAGGUAAUUGGAGUAAAAUCUUGAUCAUGCAAUCUACAAUCAGAAAGAGAUUAAUAAAUGAGCUUAACUGCAUAUAGUAGGAAUGAGAAACACGGCCGCAUCUUUAAUUAGUUCUGAAGUACAAAUUUUAAGCAAUCAGCCAAUAACUUACUGCACCUACAAUUCUAUAAAACAAAUGUCACAAAAUACAGUAAGUUACCAACAAGCAGUUACAUAUGACUAACACCAGUAAUAAAAGAUUAUGCCAACAUAUUAAAUUGAUCAUUCAUUUGCCUCACAAACUUAUUUAGAAUACAAGUGCCAUUUUAUAAGUAUAAAAAUCAUCACAUGGAUCUUGUAAAUAUUAAAUCUAUUGAAAUUGUUCGCAAAUAACAGCUCCACCAUUUUGUAGUGGCUCCAGCCUUCAGAACACAUCAGCGCAAUCACAUUAACAUGCAGUAAUGACCAUGUGCGGAUGUGAUUCCACAAUGUCUACAUAUCAUUUAAUUGCAAUUAUAACAUUGCAAAACUACAAUAGCAACAGAAAACAAAUUGACUUCAUUAAUCCAGUGCAAGAGACAAUAUGAAAUUUAUACUGCAAGCCUGGAAGGAACAAAUCAUAAGCAUGUGUAUGUACAAUGUGACAAAUCAACUUUAUCAUAUAGCCAUGUGGGCCAAAUACUGAAACCAAGAAAUGGUUCUUCAUGAAACUAGCAUAUAGAGAUAAAUGCCUUGAAAAACUUGAAAACUAAUACAAUAACCACGACACACAACCCAUUUGAAGGAGGAAAAUUAAACCAUGUCUUUCGCUAAUAUUCUGUACAACUCAAUUAAAGGCUGCAAACACUAUCAAAUUGUUGCCUCCACACAAGGUAAUUAUUUAGCAUCACAGAAAAAGAUUACUUACUUCGUAUGCACAAAGACUGGAGUAGCCAUAUAUUCUUCACCUUCAAUGAUUUUAUCUUUGUUUUCUUUUUCAGGCCCGGCGUUAGAGCUCUGCAUAUGUGAAGGUGUUAACGAAGAUGGAUCAGGUAUCCCAUGUUUCAACAGGUCAACCUGCGAAUAGAAAGAAACAAUUGUAAUUUUUCCAGCCAGAAUGUCCAAGGAUGAGAGUAACAAGAAGAUCAAUAGCCAAACGAGAUGCAACAGAAACGCCUAGAAAUUAGGCAGAUUACUAGCAUAAUAACUUUCUGGUGCAAUAUGAAAUAUCACACAUUAGUGAGCAGAAGAUUAGGGUGGGAAUGAUACCGUCAACAUUAAAUGCCACAUAUCAUCAUCAUGAACUCCAUCUGAUACCACCAGCACAAUGUGACAAAUGGAUGCUAGAAGAACACCGAGCUAAAGGGAAUCCUUACAGAAGACCAUAAAUAUAUAAAUUCAUUAGACAUUCUAUGAUUGUCAAUCGAAAGAAUACCAAAAGGAGUAGGUAGAAUCAAUAUGUACAAAGAUUAUGCUCUAGUACAGAAGUAAGAUGUGCACUUUCUCUUUACUCACCUGAAUAGCCAUAAGUUCAUGAGCCAAUUCAGCAGAUAGAUUUUCACCACUUAAAACUGAAAUAGUGGACGAACCAUCAGGUCUCAUCAUCUCAGAUAGUAUAGAAGGGCUAAAAACAGGCUGCAAAUAAACAAAAAUUGUAAUAGGGGUAAAGGGAAGGAAAAAGAAAAAGAAGGGAGGGGGGGAGGNNNNNNNNNNNNNNNNNNNNNNNNNNNNNNGGGGGGGGAAUUAACAGAGAGAUAAUCAAGAAAUGUCGGGGAUAAAGGUGAGUAAUACACAUUAAAAAGGCAUGAUACCCACAAAUCUGGUGUCAAAAAAUUGGAGUGAACUAUUGUUUAUAAGCUUCGAAAGUAUGCUGCUCAAGCAUAUGUCCAGUUUUCUGUUAAAAGAAUAUAGGAAUGGAAUUUUCCAUGUUCUGUCAGGAAUUUUUUUCACAUGUUAUAGUGUGAAAGGCAACCUCAUAAAUUCAUCGUUUAGACUCAAUUGUAGAAGCACUCUCUUGGUCUUCAUGUAUUUAUUCAUUAUGUGGAAGACCUCUUUAAAGUAAUUUUAAAUGGUCAAUUAAUACUCCAAGUCAGAAUACAGUAAACCAUGUUGUUUGCAUGUCAUAAGAAAAAACAAAUCAGGUGCAUGAUUCAAAAGAGAGGUUUAUAAUCAAAACCUGGGUGUCAAGAAGUAUAAGCCUCUCAGCAGAUAUCCUUGGUUCAAUGCCUACACUGCAAUGUCUAGCCAUUGCUCUGUUAUCUUCUGUCUGUAUAGUAAAUGGCGGCAGCAUUCCUGUAUUAUAGAAUUGCAAAGUUAUCUUCGGGAAGUAGUCUUACAACAAAUAAAACAUCACAUAUGAACUCAAGCAGACAAAUAGCAUUUUGCUAUGAGAACUAAUCAGAAAAGCAUCUUAUUGCCCCUCUUUUUAAGACUGCCGUCAGAUGAAUGGUUAUAGCUUCUCACUAAAGUCACCUUAACUUGGUUUCAACUUUCUUCCACAUAACUGAAAUUGCUAGACACUCAUAUAAAAAGCAUAACAUUGCCACUUCUAUAAUCAUUCACUACCAAGAACAAAACUCUAUACUACAGUUCUUCUUCUAGUCAGGAUAAAACCCAAAAAUAUAAUUGCGAAAGAAAGGUGACUAUAAGAGAAAUGAAAAUAAAUGUUUUAGUUAAAAAUCAUACUGAAACUAAGCACCCAUAAAUUACCAAAUACAACCUAUAUAGACAAUUAACAACAAUGUGAACGUAUAAAUUCGAAAGGAAUAAGUAUCUCGCACUUAUAAUAUAAAGAAAAUACUAACCAGGUGAACUUCCAUCAAAGCCAUAAAGUUCAUUCAUGAUGGUUGAUUUGCCAACUCCAGGCGGCCCAAUCACUCCAACGACCGUGAAGUCUGUAUUCUCAGUCAGAAACUGCACAAAAUCACAAACUUUUAUCAAGCUUUAGCUUCACAAUACCCAUAUUAUUCCCCAAACAACUUUAAAAAAAAUCUCCACCAAAUUGAAGCUAAAGCGAUACAUAUAGACACAAAAGUAGCAUGAGAGUUACAGGAAGAAAACGAUCAAUGUGAAAUUCCCAGGAAUCAGAGAGGAGAUUGAGAGAGCCGAUUGCAGGUAGACGAGACCUAUGCGAUACAGUUUCAUCUUCGGCACCGGCACGGCCGAAUUUACCUACCACCGGCCCAGAAGUGACAAGACCGGGCUUUGCCAAAAGGAUUUUAGGAGCAGGAGGAGCCGGUGAGGGAUUGGAAGAACCGGUGCCGCUAGUAGAUCCUGCCAUUGAGUCGGGUUUGGACCUCGGAGCUGAUUUUCAGUUGCCCAAGCCUAGCUUCAGUUUGCACUUUGCAGUUCGUAGUUCUGACAUUAGUUGAUGAAAACCACCUCUAAAUUUUAUUUAGCUGAGCGAAUUGGGCUCGGUAAGGGUCAACAACAGCUUUGUUUGGGUUAGUUUUUUCUGGCCCAAAGCCGACAAAGCAAACUUCUUCGGUAUUAGACUUGUUUAAACCCGGUAAGCCUAUCUACAGACCAAUCAAUUAAAAUUGAGAUUUUUUAAAAAUUAUCUCUAUUUUAUUUUAUCUUUUUUUUCAUAAUUAAUCGUUAUAAUACUCUCAUUUUAAUAAAAAAAAUACUUUGGUUCAUUAAUGAGUACGUAGACGGGUCCAAGCAAGUCAAUCCUGUUUAAUAAUUUUAUAUAUAAAAGUUCAAUCAAGUUAACACUACGGUUUUUUAAAAUUGACUACUUCAUACUCAAAAUAUAGAGUGAUUCUGCAACAAAUCGAUAAGUUAAAUGUAUUUUUAUAAAUUUAGUAUGUAAAAUAAUUCAAUAAUCAUGAUUUAUCAUGAUCAUAAUGAUCAUUUUGCAUAUUCUGAGAUUAAUUUGUCUAGACUUGGAUCAUGUAUGAGCUCGUAUCCAUAGACCAACCAAUGGAAAGUAAUCUUUCACUGCAUUGAGGGUUUACUAAUGAAUUAAUCACAUUUUUGGACAAUAUUACUUAUAAUCAAUUUAUAAGGAAAAAACACACACACACACAAGAAGCUAUUAGCAUAAUUACUAAUUUAUUUAUCAUAAAGAGAGAUCUACACUCUCUAACACAUUACCGCAACAUUCUAUUCUUACUGAUAUAUAGCUUACAUGCAAACCAACCAAGCAACAAGUUCUUCUUACGAGCUACCAAUAUUAGCAAAUUCGAUAGCCCCAUCAUUAAUUUAAUUGCCCGGAGCUAUUAUUACCAUUCCCAGUAUUAGUAUGGCUGCCGCUAUUAUGAUAGGAAUAAGGGUUUGGAUAACUAGGAUUGGCAUAAUAAGGCAGCGGUGGUGGUGGAGGAGGCGGAGCAGGGGGAUAAACAUAAUAAGGAGGAGGAGGAGGAGGAGCAUAGCAGUAUUGUGGUGGUGGUGGAGGAGUUAUUAUAUAUUUCUGUGUAUAAGCAAAACAAACAGGAGGAGGAGUAGGAGGAGCAUAGCAGUGUAGUGGUUUUGGUAAUAAUGAUAUACAUUUUUUCAUGUCAGUCUCUUCAACUCUGUGUAGCUUAUCAAUCUUUGGGUCGAAAUGGUCUCGCACUUGUUCUUUAAUUCGUUCUGCCAUAGCUAGUUGCUUGUAACUAUCUUAAUCUUACUAUGCUUGCAGGAAUAGGAACAAGGAAAUUCUUAUUAUAUAGAGGUUGCCAGAGAAUCUAUGAGGAACAUUAGCUUCAGACCAAAGCUACUUCGUUAAUUAGAAAUCCCAAAAUUGUCUUUCCCAU
rnacentral:lncRNA from 1 species